rnacentral:lncRNA from 1 species
CAAUUUCCAUUCGGAAUAGGAUUGGCUUAUCCUUAUCCAAACCAAAUUUCCUCUUAUAAUAAUUUAUAAUUACGGCACUUCUCAUUCAUUCCUCCUCUAAGUUUGACUUUCCCAAAACGCUAUUUCUUUCUUUCUUGUUCAUAAUUCCAAAACCCCAACCGUUCUCCGUCUGUUUUGCUCCGGUGGAAUCCAGCCACUGCCGGGGUUUGGCCACGACGACUUCAAUCAAAGGCAGGAAUCACGCAGCAACCUCAACCGGGAGACGCUUUUCAUUGAAGCAUUCAAAGUUGUUCAUAGUCUACGCAGCCAUACUUCUGAGUUUGUGAAUUCACUCGAGAUUGUAAUUAAUUUGUAUACAGGCUGUGUGAGAUUAUAAUAAAUCCAUUUGUUCGAGUUCAACUGCUUCUUCUUUCGAUUGUUCUUAUUACUAUAGUCUUUGUUUGAUCGUUGUUGCAUUCGUUAGAUCGAUUUCUUGAUCUGCUUCCGUAAAACAGAGGAAACCCUAGAUCGAGCAACAAUGUCGUCGAUGACAGUGCGUUACAAGUUUAUGAGUGAGAAGGAUUUCCACGAUAUCCGAUUUCCAGAGCGUUACACGACUGUCCGCGAUCUGAAAUUGGCAAUUUUCAAUUCUAGAUUCAAAGAUAAAUAUAAUAAUAAAAAUAGUCAGUAUCUUAGUAUCUGGAACGGCUGCUGUUUAGGAACUGAUCACGAUCUUCACAUCAUCGAUUCCAAAACGAACACCCCGUAUAAGAACGACUCCGCUCUGAUCUCCGAUCAAGCCGCCGUUUUAAUCUGCCGCGUCGCAGGCGAUCGCGAGCGGCGGCUCCUGGACACUGAGCCCAUCGAUUUACGGCCACAACGAGAAGCCGAUUCCGAAAGAGUAGCAGUACUAGUACUUGUAGAGUAGCAGCACUAGUACUUUAGUAGUGAUAUUACUAGUGUUGGUAGCAACAGUUGCUCAACUGCGAGUACCAUGUAGAAAUCCGAUAUUUGUACUGUGUGCUGUGAGUUUAUAAUGAGAAUCAUUCAUCCAUAUAUUGACUUCUAUAUUUCUUAUAAGUUCUCAUUCAACUAGCUAGCAUAUAAGUGUUUCAAAAACAUUACCAUUGAUCCAACCGGUUUAACCAUGAAUCACUCAUUAAAACACUUUGGUAUAAGCUCGAAACAUAUGCGUGUGUAAUUAAACUGACAUUACUUGCAGUUUCUAACGACUCGAGUGGUAGAGUGGAACAACAUAUCAUUAUUCAUUAGACUCAUUGCACUGAUUUGAAUGUAAUACCGUGUCAAUUACUCAAGGUAGAUCUAAACAAUCAUAAGACGAAACGGGUUGCAAUUAAAAUAAACUCUGGUUAAGUAUAUACAACUACCCAACUAAUUGGUCCUUGAUAAUUUUGGAGUCAAGCUGUUAGUCAAUGUACAGAGAAAAACAAUACUUGGACUGAUAAAUGAAUAGUGAAGUCACAUGCAUCAACCAAAUUUCAAAGAUCGAUAACAGUAAUUAGAAAACCAACCGCUAAAUGACUGAAAGUUGACGUGCAGUUUCCUGACAUUUAAACCAAUGCGCGUACGUAUAUGAGUAGUAUAUAUACGGCCUUCACCAUGUUGGCCAAUCUAAAUUAACCCACUUGAACUUAAAAGAGGAAGAGAGAGAUAAUGGCAGGACUUCAGAGCAAAACAACGGUGGUCGGAUUUCUAAAACUGGUUAUUAUGGUGUUCCUUUGUUGUGUGGCGGUGGAAAUAAAGGAUGAAGGAGGAUAUGUGACUCGAGCUUGCUUUAAUGGUUUUGUUGCUUUGUUUGUUCUAAUUAUAUAACAUCAACUUUGAAUCAUAUGAAAAGAAAAAGUACCCGCAUGUGAAAAUUUGCAGUGGAGCUCAAUUGAAACGGUCACUGGGGUUAUGCUUGUUUAUCUUUACUACAGUAGCUGUAAUAGACCACUCAUCAAUAUUAUAACAGAUUCAAAUAUGAGCGAUACUGUUAUGUAUCUGUACAAGAAAACUAUAACAUUACACAAGGAAAGCAUGACUUUUGUUUGGAGAUGGUCUCAGUCGUCCUCUGCGAAGUACUUAUCCUCUGCAUCACGAGUUAUGUCCUCGAACCAAUGAUCAUCCAACGUCUCAUCCUCGUCGAUUUUUGCAUAAUCAAAGUUCCCAUCGUCUUCACCAGAGAGGAAUUUCUGGUGCAUUAUCGCAGUAAAUUGGUCCAUCCUAUCUUCCAUCUCCUCAGCUGAUAAAGUUUCUUCCUUGUCAUGCUGUUCAGUGGUUGACGGAGCACUUCCCUCGACGUUAAUCUGAAGGGCAGAACAGAAUGAAUCGCAUAUAUAUCAAAAUUGAAGAAAAGGAACAUCAUAAAGGACUUUCAUAAGAAGAUAAACGACUUACUUGAACCUUCAUUGCAUUUUCUUCAUCAUCAUCAUCGUCCUCCUCUACUUCUUCUUCCUCCUCCUCCUCUUCAUCCUGCUGUUGGCUUUCUCCAUAACCACCAACCCAUUCACUCUCCGAGACACCUAGUCUCUGCUGCUCUUCCCGAAUCUUUGACACCAGUAUCGCUUCCUCAGCUCUCCUAAUCAAAGUCUCGGACCACCGUUCCCCUGGCUUUGCCAUGGUCCUUGCACUUAGAUCUUGAAACUUGCCGACAAAUUCAUGAUGCAAAUAUGGCUCCCUGUGCCUCAUUGCGUCUUCAGAGAAAUAGCUACCGUCGCCUAUCAGUUUAUUCAAGUACGCAUGCCUCCGGUUCUUUGCUGCAACUGACUUUGAUCGCAGAUCUUCGUCAGUUGGACUCAAUUUGCUUCUGAUAUUCUUUAGGUGCCAUUUUAUUUCGUAAUCGUCACCAAGAGUAUCAAACUCAUGAAGCUCAUUAGAAGUCAACUGCCCUCCGUACCGCUCUAUUUCAACAAGAUACAGCUAAACUCAGCAUUAGCCGGAAAUUAGUAAUGAAAAGUUGAAAUGAACAAGGACAAACAACAUAUAUAACUUGGUAGAACUAUGACGACGAAACAGAACUAACUAUUGAUCAAAGAUAAUGUCGACAAAUUAAUGAUCAUUUUUCCAUUCAAACAAGAGAUUGAGCUGGAAAAAUACAGUUUUAUGCAUACAUAUCUCUGUGUGAGUGGAAAUUUCAGGCUUUCAGCAACAAAACAAUCAAGCAAGUCGAAGUACAACAACCUUUAUGCAGCAGCCUAAUCACUGACUAGUUACCACAAAAGCUUAAAAGUUCGUGCCUCUGCAUUGUAUUGAGCGAUCAAAGAGAACCGAACUUAUGGAAACCCUAAAAGUCGUGAAACUCUGAAUUCAACUUCCACAACAUUCUACAAUUCAAUUAUUAAAUGGAAGAAACUUACAGGAGUCGUGAAGACGAUAACAGGGAGGUAACGUAAGGAGGAAAAGAUGAAAUACCUAGGAAGACGGCGGGGUCGCGGGAGAGAAGGUCAAGCAGGAGAGACUUGCGGUGGGACGGAUCAGCCGCGUGAAGCUGUAGAGAACGAGGGAAGUAGAGGUUGUCUACCGAGGAGAGCCUCAUCGUUAUGCUCUCCAUGGCUGCUUCUUUGAUUACCUUUCCCAGAAUCUUGUCUCCUUUUGCUGAUUCCAUCGUAUUAUUGUCUGUGCCUUGGCUGCUCCGAUGACGCUGAAAAUCCCAGCUUCAGGCGUCGCCGUGUGGACGUAGUAGUAGUUUACUAGUUAGGCGGUGAGUUGGUCGGGUUAAACCGUACCCGAGACUCUUUACGAACUCGUCCAUUAAGGCUUGCAGUUUGGGCUGGGCCGAGUAGCUUUAGAGGGCCGAUCCAAGAAGGCAAGUAGUAGGUAGUAUUAAAAUAUAUUAUUCGAUGCUAGCUAGCUAGCAAAGAUAAUAUCAAAAUUGGAUCGUAUUCUGAUUCCACAAUCGCAGUGCCACUUGUUUUCUUCCUAUAUAAAUAUCCUACCAAUGCACCCUCUCUCUACUAAGACCUCAAGCCUAGCUCGACACACAUUCUAUAUUCAAAUGGCAUCCUCAAAAGCACCGGCUGUCGGAACACAACUCUUCGGCCAGGCACCUAAGAAGGACACAGCAACAGCUACCAAGUCUGCUACUAGUACUGCUUCCAAAUCUAAGAAGCCUUCUGCUGCUCCACAAAAGGCCCCUCAGCCUCAGGCCACUAAGAAGAAGGUCAUUUUCCUUUCUUUCCUAUUACAGUUGAGAUUACGGUUGAGAUUUGUGAGGGCUUUUUAUAUCGGAUCUGAUUUAAAAAAAAAUGGUUGUUGUGUUGUUGUACAGGCCGCCAAAGGAGGGAAGGCAGCAAAGAACUAACAGAGGAAUACGAGAAGCGUAUAUAUAGUUACUAAAUCAAAAGCAACUAAUUACGAUGAAAAAGAAUAUUGUAUUAAUUAAUUAAAAAAAUUACUCUUGUACUAAUGUAUUACUAGCAGCUGAAGUGGUUAACUACCAACUUGCAAGCUUUGUGAUGAUCAAAUAAAUAUGAACAAUAUUUACAUAGAGUCUGGUUUGCAUGUGGCUCCUGCAGUCAAACCAAUUUAACGGCGUUUUCCCUUUCUUUGUCUCUUCCUCUCCCUCUGUCUUUCUUUUUCUUUCUCCCUCGCAACCUCUCUCUCUCUCUCUCUCUCUCGUAUGGUCACGACAAGGAGAUGCAGAGUCCCAAAUCAACACCGCUGAUUGGUGUUAGUCCAUAGUUUCAAAAUUACAAAGUGAUCUGAGCUUGAAAAAAAAGGAAGAGGGGGAGAGGGGGAGAAAGGGAGAUGGAGGGGGAAGGAACCCCGUUUGGUUGCAGGAGCCAUAUGCAAACCGGACUCUAUGUAAAUAUUGUCUUUGCUUACCCAGUAUAUGCAUGGUUAAUUGGUUAUGUUAAUCUUUCUUUCCAAUUUAAUUUACUGUAUAUAUGUUCUCUUAACACACAAAAAUAUAUUUGACUAUAGUUGGGGUUUUGAUGGUUGAGUUUGAAUUACAUCGAAUGUUUUUAAUUAUUUGAUUCAACAGGAUUCUUCCCAAAUAAAGUGAUGUUAGGUAGUGAGUUUAUUAGGUAACAUAAAAGUAAGAGACAUAGAGGAAAUGAACAAGUAAAGAGCACAUACCGAAAGUAUUAUUGUUAUAAUCCCUAUAAUUACGAUAGUACUCUACCUUUUACGGUAAGCAUGACAUUAUUUAUAAGCGGGAGUUUAACGGUGUAGCUUUAUCUUUACGGCCGAUUCCAUCAAAGCGAUGCUGACCAUCAAGCUGACACGUAUGCCUUCAACAUAUCUACCCAACCAUGACGGUCCACCAUGUCCGCAAAGCACAAAAAAGGUUAGGGCUAAAUACUGAGUAGGCCGCCAAUCACAAAUCAUCCAUAUUAUCAUAUUGGUAUUGCACCACAUCAAUGUGUUGUAGAUGUGAGUUAAUAACCAGAAUCAUCGAUUGACUUCUAUACUUCUUGAAUUAUUAAGUACAGUUGACCCUAAACACAAUUAAAAAUAUUACAGGUGCCACAUUGAAAUUUUCUGCCUGAAUGAUCGGAACCAAAGUUAAUCUGUUGAUCCAAAUGGUCGAAAGAAAACCUUUUUCGGGCGACCUGCAAUGACUAUGCUGUUUAUUAAUUAAAUUAUCUUCGACGAUGCCAUAAAAAAAUAUAUACGAUUGUUUGUUGAGAAUGAUCACCAAAUCCGCUGUAGCAAACUCUUCAAACAGUUAUCUUCCAGGUCUGAUUUCGAUCCCUGGGUUGGAAUUCCGGGUUCGAAUCCCGGCAGCGGAAUGAAUGUUUUUUUUAAACAAAUCGUGUGCUUUUAACUUUUUUAUUUUUCUUCUUUUAAUACUUUAAUUAUCUUCGAACAUGUUGCAAAACAUAACUAAUUGUUUGUUGAUUUCAAUCACUAAAUCUAACGUAGCACAACUUAAUUUUUGUCUUUUCAGGUUUGAUUUUGUUCCCUGGGUUCGAAUCCUGACGGUGGAAGUGUUUUUAACUUUUUUUAUCUGUUUAAUAUUUUGGUCAAUUGUACUUAACAAUGGCCCAACCGGUUCGAUUAUGAAUUACUCCACAAAAUAGUUCAAUACAGCCUCAAUGUAUAUAUAUGUGUGUGAUUCAACCAUUAUAAUUUGUAACGAUUUAAGUGGUUAAACCCAAAACUCAUUAGUCUGAAUAUAUAAACACCAUGUCAAUUACUCAAAACAGAUCCAAACAAUCACAACCGGUAAUUAGUCCUCGAUUACACUUACUACUUACUAAAUUAAUGGGGUCAAUAAGCAGAGGAAAAAAGAAUAGCUAGUUAUGUUGGGCAGAAAACAUUAAAUAGAAGUGAGUCAGAUGCAUGAAGUAGAUAGAUGUCAACAGUGGAUAACAUAAACAUUGAAAAUUCACAAGCAAGAAGUAUUGAGUUAAAUAUAAAUUCGGCCUUCACUAAAUUAACCAUCUUCGGAUCAACCACUGAGAGAUUUUGGCAUGCAGCAAGACAUUAAUGGCGGUGAGGCUUCUCAAACCAUUCAUUUUCGUCUAAUUUUGGUGUGUGGCAGUGGAAGCAGAUCGCGAUGGCUCUUCCCCAAACCGUAAUUAGCAUUCAGUAUUCAAUUCACUUUGUGUAUACAUAAACAUGUUCAGUUAAGUGAUUAUUUUAAUUUGGAAUUUUUCGUUAUUAUAUUUAUUAGGUCAGCGAAUUCCUCCUCCACCACAGCAGCCGCCUCCUCCUCCACCCCCACCUCCUCCGCCUUCUCCACCGCCGGCUUCGUCAGACAUGAUACCGCUUCCACGUACAGCUCGGCAUUAUGCUUGACACCGCCGGGAAGUAAAGAAUGAAGGAGGAAAUGUGACAAGAUAACGGAAAGAAGCACUUGCUUUGAUGGUGAAGCUCUUGCUUUGAUGGUUAAUGGUUUGUUUGUUCUAAUUAUAUCUCAACUUUGAAUGAUAUGAAAAGACCAAGUUCCUGCAUAUGAACAUUCCCUGCAAAAAUGUUUGCUCUCGUUUGGUAUGGAACAAUGGAGAGUGAGAGAAAAGUAGAAAAGGGAAAUUGAGGAAUGAGAGAUUGUGUAAUUCUAAUUAUAUUGUUUGGUGAUAAGAUUUGCAAUUGAAAUAUAAUUUGNNNNNNNNNNNNNNNNNNNNNNNNNNNNNNNNNNNNNNNNNNNNNNNNNNGUUUAAUUUUAAAAUUUUAAUAUUUUCUAAUUGUUGCCGAAAUUUAAACGUAUUGCUAUGUUGAAACAAUGUAUGAAACUAUGAACGUAUUAAUAUUGUACCAUACUCAUACCAUAUCUUACUAAAUAUAAAUGAGAAUAAAUCCGACACCUACCACUCCUUUUAUUUAUUAGGGAAGAAGAAUUAAUAUUUGUACAUAUCUACAACCAUAUAUUAUAAUAUAUCAUGGCUAAUCAUAUAGUUUUUUCAAGUAUGCAUUACAUAAUUGCAAUAAUAUAUUACAUGUUUUGGCUAAUCAAACCAAUAUCUCGCUUUUAUUCCACACCUUGGUUGUUAUAAUCGUUAUAGCCGUAAAGGAAGUUGGGGGUAAUAAUGACAAUAUAUCCAUUAUUUAUAAAAACUCGGAGUUUUGAAGAAAACAUCCUCAACACCAUGUAUUUGAAAAAUGCACAUUUGAGAGGAAAUGUGUUCUCAGAGAAAAAGUGUUUUCGUAAAACACUGGCCAAUUAAAACUAUACAAACAAGUGAUUCUGUGUUACUCUGAGUUUUGAUAAAACCCUCCUAAUUUCCUCUAUACCAAACGAGGCCUUUAUAAAUUUUAAGUUGAAGGUAGCCAUCCAAACUGAUCAUUUAUUUUAUCUUUCGGUAGGAAUUAACCCAGGGUUAAAAAUAUCAAUCCAUACAUUUACAUUAUUAUUUAAUGAACUCAUACUCGAUAUUUGAUGAAUUCGAUUAACUAAAAUUGGAUAUUGUUUUUUGAGCGAAAUAUGAAAUCGGUGUGAUUAAUAUUAUAAAGAAUUUAAUUUUUUUUAAUUUGUUUGACGCUUCAUUUACUUAAAAGAAAAUAAUAACAUGACUAGAGUGCAAUUAUUAAAAGCCGGUGGGUUAGCGAAAAUCACAACAAAUCCCAUUUUGCUUGGCGGUGGAAAUUAAAUUGUGGUUUUGCAAAGCUCUGAUAUAAGAUUAAAAAUUAUAAAUAAAUUUAGUGCAUUAAACUAUUCUAUUCAGAGGUGUAGAUCCACAUACGGGAUUACAUAGAUCGCGGAUUUUUUGCGAAAUAAAAAGGUAUCAAUUCUUGUUCUCAUACAUACAACAGACAAAAGGACUAUGAAGGUGAGGAAAUAAAUAGACAAUAACCUAAAAAAAAGGAAAGAGAUCCGACUGAAGACGGUGAACGUUAUUAGAGCUGAUUCGGAGCUCCACAACCCCCUAAGAGCCAAAGGUCACUAGAGUAACCAGCUUACUUUUACAUUGUCCAUAGUGCGUCUAUUCUGUCCAGAAACAUUCUGAUUUUCUACAUGCUUAUUGGUUGCCCUUAAUUCUCUAUAGUUGUUAGGCAUGUUUUGGUCGAUUCUUAAUUUUCUAUGCCUUUGUACCAUUCUCACCAUGUCUAUUAUGAAGUGGUCUAUGCUUAAUAUGAGUGCUUUGGUUACAACUCAUAACAUAGUCAUAGAGUUGCUUAGAGUUAAGUAUAUCAGACCAUCCAUGAACUUCUACAAAUCGUACACUCUUGAUCUGGAAUGUAUUACGGUGACCUAGGUUUCUAUGAAUUCACAUAUGCUGAUAAGUAUAAUACUCAAUAUUGACCUGUCAAGUUUUCUAUGAAACCUAACUAACUUAAUGCUUCAUGAUAUCAGGCGACCUCUAUGCUAGAGAUUUAGCAAGCCUGUAGGUCCUAGACGUUGCAUUUUAGCACUUAAUCUCUCAAAGAAUGGUUACAAUUUUAGUACUUAUGUCAGAUGAACAAUUAAACGCCAAACCCUCAAUCUUGAUCUCAUGUUCCAUUGUAACAACUGUUUAUCAUUUUACAAAAAAAAACUAACCCUACAACCUGCCGAAAAGACAAAAAAAAAACAUGUUUACACUAAAAUCCGAACAAAGCUAGUUUUCAGAAAGAAACGAACGGAAUCCAAAGUAGAAUGGGAUAAGGAAACCUAGCUAAUUGCAGUAGGUUAAGGAAAACCCAGACCGCGUCCCUCCCUAACGGCUCUCAACCCCAACCAGUCCACCACUAUAUAAACAAACAGCCUCCCACCCAUUACUCACUACUUGCUACUCACGGCUCGGAUAUUUUCUUGUUACUACACAACAUCAUCAAACGGUCACAACAAAUUUCCUUUUCUUCUUCUCCUUCUUCUUUCUUUCUAAUUUCGGCAUUCAACUUGAGAAUAAUGAGUGCUCCUAGCGCUGUAGAUCAUGACGUAGCAUCAUCGACCAUGAAGAAGAAUGUUAUCAGAAUCAAAUUAGGGCCAAAGAAAGACGGCGCUGAUCAUCAGAUGAUGACCAAGGCCAAGUCGGUGUUGUCUCCUGAGGAAGAAUACGAGAGGAAACUGGAGAUAAGUAGGCGGAAGCUAAAGAGAGGCUAUGAGGAUCACCAAGAGUCACGGAAGCGCUCUAGGAUUGUAGUCCUGGACGACCCCUACUCUUCGUCAAAGCCGCCUAGCAAGGUGAAACAACAACAGUGGUUUGGUGGUGAUGAUGAUGCAAGAAGUAAGCCGCGGCCGCAUAAGAAGGCUCCAAAGAGGUUUGUUCGUGUUCUCAAGGAAAGGAAUGAAGCCCGCCUCCUCUGUCAAGUUCGUCCCGACAUCGUUAUUCAUCACCACCGACCUUUUUUUUGAUUAGUUCCUCACCGGCCGGACAUUACAUUAAUGUUCUUCCAUUCAUUCAUUAAUUGAUUUCACCGCCGUGGUUGGAGAUCUUGAUUAUGAUCUUUAAUUUCUCGGGAUUUGUAUUGGUUCGGACAGAGUAUAUAUGAUCGUAAUAAAAACCCUAGCAUAUAUGCAACGGUAUAUUCCUCAACUUCUUUUUUGUGUCUCUCAACUCUGUAGAUGCUCAAAAAGGCAUGUCAUCAUAAAUACCACUGCAAAAAGACGUCCCAAAACGGUAUACAAAAUCACACAUAACUCACAAAAUUGCAUGAUCACAAAAAGUAAAAACCAAAACAAUCAAAAUGUAGAACACGAUGGCUGGAGUUGCUUGCAGUCGGGGAAAAAUUCAAUACUCAACCGGUAUUCCUCAUUCCAGCGGCAAUUCCGUUAAUGGUGAUCAGUAAAGCAUCUCUGAGCUUAACGUUAUCAUCGUCCCUUCUCAGCCUCUUCAGAACUUCCACUUGCAACAUGUUCAUCGGAUUCAGAUACGGCAGCCUCCCUUCGAUAAGCCUUCUCAAGCUCUUGUUAUUGUCCGAGAGCUUCUCGUGGCCGCUCACAACCAGCACGUACUUCUCAGUCGACGAGAGCUCCUUCCUCAGGUCGUCUCCGAUUUUCUGCCUGCUCUCCGAAACAAGCACUUCGUCGUAGUGCUUUGCUAUGGACGUGUCUGCCUUCCCUAUGAUCAUUUCUAUGAGGUCUAUCGUGGACUGGAAGAAAGGCCACUCUUGGUACAUUGAUUUCAGGUCUUCAGUGUGUCCCUUUUGGCAUGCGUAUUCCAGACCGGCUCCAACUCCGAGCCAAGCUGGCAGGACGAACCUGGUCUGUGUCCAUGCAAACACCCAUGGAAUGGCACGGAGGUGGCCGAUCCCAGUCGAGGCCUUCCUUCGUGUGGGACGGCUUCCUAUGUUGAGGAACCCUAGCUCAGCUUGAGGAGUAGCUUCUUGGAAGUAGGUUAUGAAUUCUGGAUUCUCGUAUACGUUGCUCCUGUAGUUCUGGCAACUGACUUUUGAUAUCUCCUCCAUCAGGCUGCGCCAUUUUAGUUCUCGAGGUGGAAGAGGGGGGCGGAGAGUUGCGAGCAGCACUGCAGUUGUGUAGAUCUCUAGCUGUCUGACCGCUGUGUUUGGGAGUCCAAACUUUGCCUGCACCAUUUCUCCUUGCUCAGUUGAUCUCAGAGUCCCCUGCCAAGCAUUGCAAUAUUUGAUAUACAAAGGUGCAAAAGUAGAAAGAAAUUGCAGGUGUUUUUAUAUAUAUAACUGAGUGACUCACCAUUACUGAGCCUGGAGGUUGGGAUUGAAUGGCAAGAUAUGUAGGGCCACCACCACGACCGACACUGCCUCCUCGGCCAUGGAAAAGAGUUACUUUGAUACCGAACUCAUUGCAUGCCGUCACAACAUCCUCCUGGGCUUUGUAAAGCUCCCAAGCAGCAGUGAAGCGGCCUGCAUCUUUACCAGAAUCCGAAUAUCCAACCAUCACCUAGUUUCAGAUCGAAAGUUGUCAGUAGCAGAUAAAGUACAGAAAAAUACUUAACCAAGUCAAGUUUGGAUGUUCUUCUUUCUAAAUGAGUACCUCCUGAUGGCCGUUAUGAUUCUCAAUGAUGUGCUCUCUGUACCAAUCAAUGGACAGCAGUUUCCUGAUCACUGAACCUGCCUCUCUGAGAUCCUUCACAGUUUCAAAUAAUGGAGCAACCCGAAGCCUGACAAAAAUAUGAUUGACAUGCGAACAAUUUUCAAAACAACCAAUGGCUAAAGCCAGAGUCUAAAGUUGUCCAAUAAGGAAUGAUUGCUUAACUAAGGAAGCAGCAAUACAAAAAAGGUUUACUUACGUCCCACCAGGGCAUGGUCUCCCUAACUCUCCACUGACAGUAAGGCGGGCAUCUUUUUGUAGAAGCUCCACUGCUAGGACAUCACUUGCCUGCGAACACACAUGUCAUUGAUUUAACUUUCCUUCCAUAUGAAGCAGUCCAUGAGCAAAUAUCUGAUAAUCAACUACAAACUACAAAUAUUCCUGACAGAUUUUGAACUUGAAUUCAUAGCAGUGGUUUAUACAUUUGAUGCCAUGGAAAUGACAUAUGCUCCGAGGGAAUCACUGCCCAGCUCAGCAGCUACACGGAAGGUAUCCAAGACUUCUUUCACCUCAGGUGGAACCUGCAAACAGAACAGAAUUCGUAGACCUUAAAUAGCAAAAGAAUAGCAGUAAUAGAACAAUUGUAAUGCGUCCAUAAUCUUGACUUCUCAAUAUGGUAUCUUGAUAUGUAUGUUUUUAAAGCAAUCAGGUAAUUAAGCUACUAUCAGAAGCUUUAGAGAACUUCAAUCAUUUGUUCUUUGUCUGUUAAAUGAUAAACAGCUAAUGGGAAUCCCACUGGAUUAUUGAUAGAAAUGUAAGGAAUUACCUCGAUACUAGACGGAAUUAAUGGCCGCUUUCCCUUCAGUUCUCUCGUCAAGAACUCUAACUUUUUGUCCUCAUCCCACUCGCUAUAUAUCCCCAUGUCCAAAUAUUUGGUGAUUGCAUCCAAUGCUUCAGCAUGUCUACCAGAUUCCUGUUAUAUUUGAGGAAUUUCAGUUAAUUUCGACUAGAAUAGAGCAACUUUGACUUUUAAUGUGAAAAAGAAAGCAUACCUGACGUAAAUCUAACUUCAUCAACACCAUGCCAAAGGUGGCAACUCUACGUAUCAAGUCAGCCAGACGACCAUCAGCCAGUAGGCCCGAUCCACAUGAUUGCUGCGAUAUUUAAUUAGUGCAGUUCAAUUUAACUGUAAUUCAUGGAUUUUUACCGCUUAUAUAUCCCAGAUGACUUUGCACAAGCUUGAGUUGCACAUUACCAGAGAAUCAUAGCAUAAAAGCAGAGGUUCCAACAAUUGAUCUGCAGUUUCAAAGUGAUCCCAAGGAUCAUAUUCACAAGGAAUAUCUUCAAGAAGUAGUUCCAAUCUUUUUCUUGUCUUCAUAAGCUGAUUCGCAGGAAAACAAAACAUGGAUAUGCAUCUUAAUUAGUUAAAAGACUUAAGAGGAUAAGUCAGAGCCACCAAGCAAUGCAGAUUAGAUUGUUGAGGACUUGGCUCUAAAUACCUUGUCUUUUACAUUGCUAAGAACAAUCCUGUAAGGAGCGAUCGUAGAUUGUUGAGGACUUGGCUCUAGAAGCUUAUGGAAGCUUGAUCUUCCUAUCAUAGACUCCGCAAAUUUUUUCCGCUGAGCAGCAAGUUGGACAGAUGAAAAAGAGGAAGACCUUUGCAUCCCUGGAGACUGAGAACCAUUUGAAGCUGUGGGCUUUCCAGUCGGUGUACCGCGAUUGCCAGUAGGAGAAGGUAACGGGAUUGAAGAGCCUCUAUGUCCCUGAUAUGAACAGAACAAUGUACCACUACUGCUAUAUAUUCCAGGCAAUAAGAGAGUAAACCAGCAACAUCAUUUGAAGUACUGUGAAGAAAGAUUAAUUACCUGACACUUAGGCAUGUAAUCUGUACCAGGAAGUUCUAGUUUGGGAUAUCUAGGAGCUCCAUCCUUCUCACAGUCUACACAGAGCGAUGGGUCAAAGAAGAAACUAGCUGGCAGGGUAAAAACUGAUGAAUAUUUUAAGAUACUAGCAUCUUAUUAGCAAAACUAGAUAACGCGUAAUUUGUAGUAUAAGUCGCCAACAAAAGUAUCAAUGAAGGCUUUGUUGAACGUGUACACAUAGAACGAAAGCACAAUAGUAGAAGUUUAGCAAUAUGAAAGUGGUAAACGUGUUUACCAGCUCGGGAAGGCAGGUCAGCACUAGCUGGUAGUUGCGUUGGAACAGACCGAGAUGUUUGGCUAUGAAACUUAAACUGAUUUCUGAUCCCUGAACUAUCCUGUCUGUCUUCCGAAGAAUUUUCUGUGGAGGACAAUUACACUUCAGCUUAGCUUAUCAGUAUAAUAGAAACAGGUCACUGCUUCUGAGUGAUAAACCAUGUAUAAUUUACCAAACUUAACCAAAUAUUUUUGUCAAAACAUAUCGUAAAUUGUGCAGUUUCUUAAAUGUGUUACUAGGAUACAUCAGAGAUGCCAGCCUAUAAAAGGAUUAAAGAAUAGUUCCCCUGAAGCUACAAACAAUUGAACUUUCGCAUGGCCUAAAUCCAUUAUUCGAACACUUUAAAUUUUAGCUUAAUUUUCAACAAUUCUAUAUAGAAAAUUUGAUUCCACCGAACUGUUAGUGAUGAUAAUAAACAAAAGUGAAUGACAGGUAAGACUGAUUACACGACAUAUCUAUGCAGUUCAGAUUUGCAUAACAAUCUAGCAACUUCAACCUGCUUUCAUAACGUCAUGUGCCUCUUUCAACAACCUGUCGCUGCAUCGGGUCAUGGAUAGUUCAAAUCUGAGACUAUCAACUUCCCGAAUAUACAGGUCGAUAGCCAUCCAUCUAGACAAUAAGGAGACAUCUCUUGUGACCUGAAACAUUACCAAGAAGUUCUCAAUUUAAUAGAUAUCAUGGUGUUUUCUUCCAAAAAAAAUAGACAUCAUGGUGUAAAUAAGUAGGAUCAGUUCUUUUUCAAUAGUAUUCCUGAAACGAAUAUAAGCAGAUGUAUCAGUUCCAUGAAAAAUGAACAACCACCUAGAAGAUAAUAACAGAUUAAGAAGUCCGGUUAUGUAGGUGACCCACUUGCAAACCAGAUCGAUCACAUAUACUCCUCAUGUCAUUCAUAUCUUUGAAUUCCAUUCAUAACUCAAGAGCCAAACGAUCAAAAUCAAAUGGAGAAUGUUCAUUGUUUACUAGAUUAACCUCUCACCACCAAGCAAGACACUGCUUUCCAAUCAACACGGGUGUUCGAGUGUACCUUAGACGUCACAUUCGGAUUUCCGUCCCUAUCACCUCCCAUCCAAGAACCAAAUUUUAUUGGUGUGGCAGUUAGCGGCAGUGGCAUUCCAGUAUGCUAAAGAAGAAAUAUAUACAUAAGAAAAUGAACAAAAAGUUCCAAACUCUUUUGCGUUUUUCGAAAACAAAAGUAACAAACUCUAAUUAAUAUGAAACAUAUCAAGUUCCAAGAAGCUUCUUAAAAUUCAUUUCAAGAAUCUACAAAUAAUAAGGGCAGGAGCGAGAGGGUGAAGAAGGAGGAAUAACAAUAAACCUUUUUCAGGGCAUUGCUGACACGGCGUAGAUAGUGAGGUACAGCUUUCCAUAGGGAUUGUUCAACAAUAUUCAAUCCUGAAUUGAUGAAAUAUUUGUGUUUUAAGUUCAUAAAUAAAUUGUUCACUUGAAUCAAGAAAUGCAUGUUUUUCCUAUGUAUGGUAUUGGUUGAUUAUCAGCCUUGACGGUCCAUUCAGUUCUUCAAAUGUCAAUGUUCUGUUUAUUCGAGCGUAUGUACAGAUAGUUGGAAAGAAUCGGAGAAUGCAUGUUAUUUCAUGAACAAGGUUUUAUUGAUUUACCAGCCCUAGCCUCAUCCACUGGUGUUGGCUUAUGACGCCUGAGCUCAUCUGUCUGCCAUAUUGAGGUGAUCUCUCUAACCUGUGAAAGGAAGAAUGAUGAAAAUCCAAUGAAAAUCAAGACAUAAAUAAUAACUAUAAGAUUAACUGUUUUCCCUCAAAAGGGAACCUGGAUCACACAAAAAAGCAGGGGAAAGCAUUAUGCUUCAAGAACCAUACCAGAUCUUCUAUCAGCAUUUCUCGAUCUUCAUGAGUAAGGUCAGUCCUAUCAUUGUAGUCCAAAAGAUGCUGCAUACGAGCAUUCAAAUGGAGUUACUAACACACAAACAGGUAAAAAAGUUGGAUGAGUAAUUUAGUUCAGAGGCAUAAUAUAACUCACAGAAAUUCUGAUGUGCUUAUACUGCAAGGUCCGACGAUUGAUUUGGGUAGGAUGUGCAGUUAGAACAAUUUCUACCUCCUGCAACAACGAAGACGCGAUAAGCUAAGAACACUUUACAAGUCUGUAAUAGUUCUUUCCAAGGGACUUCAUUUUCCUGUUAUGGUGCUUUUUCAUGAUUUUUCUCCUAUAUUCUUUUUGAAACCCUUCUAGAUGAUGUUUAUGAUACUUUGUGUAACUUCUUUAGAAUGCACCUGGAUGACUUACAUACCGGAAUUUUUACCUGAACUCCUUUUAAAAAGUUUUAACCAACAAUACCUGCUUACAGACAGUAUGAUACAGUUGAUCUGGAGGAACUCCACUCUGCAAGAGCUGAGUAAAGACAUCAUCACAAGAUCUAGAUAAAUGAGCAGCACUUCUUAACCUGCGGACCCUGUAGUCAACAAUAUAAUCAAAAGUAAUGAGUUCUGAGAGUCAAUUGAUUGUAAACAGAGUAAGCAUUUGUUUUUGUAACACCAUGUUUUCCAAUUGAAGCUAUGGUCUAGGAUCAUCUUAUCAUAACUGGCUAGCUUGACACAUUGAAAUUACUCAACGCUGAGUAGAAACCUAUAGCUUUAUUCUGCAGAACAAAGCCACGUUUAACUGCCAAUCCAAUGUAAUAUAUUUUCAACGGAUCAGCCUUUGAAAUGCAAGUCCACCGAUAAAAUAUCUGACCAAGGCACAUGAACUUCUUGACGCUAAUUACUGAAGUAUAUUAGAUAGAAGUAUGAUCAGAAAAGGCUCUUUACCUGUGGUGGGUCUCAGCAAUUCCCAUCAAGUUAAGGAAAUGGCUAAUCGCACGAGCCAGAGUUAAGGCCUCCUCUAAUGUCAAUUGUUUCAUCUCGGCAGCCAAUUGUUUCUCCAGCAUGUCUGCUGCGUCCUCUAUCUCCGCCAACCUCAUAUUGCAGGCACUCUGUAACCAGACAGUGCACCAUGUAUACAGCUCAAUGUGUUAGAUAUGAUCCAUACUUGUUAAGAACCAUCCUUAUUCGCUAGGAGACGCGAAAGGAAAAGAUAAACGCAUAUGUCAACACACUAGCAAACAAUUGAUUCUACCGUACAGAAAACACUGAUACCUAAUUGGAACAAACAUCGUAAAUAAUGUUCACAUUUUUUUUGCGUCCUGAAUUAAGGGGACAAAAUACAUUGGUAUCCUCCAAAUCCAGUUCUGAGAAAGUGAUGCUCAAGUGUAUUUGGCUUUGUUUCUAUUGGUAUAAUCAAAUCGAAGCAUCCAAGGGAUUCAAGCAUGCAAAUCUUAAUCAAAACACAUAGAUGAUUUAGGUAUCCAUUUUAUAGAAAUUUCGAGAUCGCAUAACUUCAUCAUCGUGAUUUCAAAGUUCUUUCAAAUCUCUCAGCAAACAGAAUGGCAUGCCAUGCAAAACUUUGUUUCUAGAUACUAUCUUUUAUAGAAACUUGAAAACUAAACAACAUCGGAAGAACUCUCGAUGAACACAAUAUAUGAAAGGGAAACUAGUUAGAUAUUCAGAAUCCCAGCCACGAGUGACUGAACUAUGAAACUCAAUAAAUGGAAGGGGGGAAAUGAUCGAGGAGAUAAUGAGGCGAUAGAAGAGGCAAAAACCUGAGCGACGAUACGAAUUUUUUCAAGUUUCUUCAUGAGCUUGCUAUCAACUUCCCUCUGCAAUACAUCGUUGAGAAGAUUUCCGAGCAGCUUGCAAUCAUCGUCGAAGCUCUGGAACGACAUUUCUUCGGCGAUAUCAUCAGUGGUGUCCGUCAUGGUUACGGGACGAAACAAGCAAGGCACAAAUGAAAAAGGAGCCUGCGUUUACAGUAAACGAGAGAGACAAAGAGAAGAAAGAGAAGAGAGAUAGAAGAUGGAGCGGAGAGGUAGUGAGUGAAGCUGGCGAAACGAGAUUGUGAAUGGUGGAAGAAGAAGAAGAAGAAGGAUGUUUGUGUUUGGGGAAACAGUUAGUAUGGGGCCCGCCCAGGAGGCAGGAGACCUGCCUUUUACCGUCGAGAGUUGCGAGAGGUCCCGCGACACUUGGCAGUCAAGGCGAUAAUUUAAAUCGGAAUGGUUAAAUUUAGGCCUUGGGAGUCUCGUGGCCACGUAAUGAUGCCCGUAUUCUGCUAUUUCAGGUAAAAAGUUUAACUGCAACCCUCUAAAUAUAGUUUUAAUAUUUUAGUGGUCUUGAAAACUAUAACUGCUCUAAUUUAAAACGUGUUAUAUGUUUUUAGUUUCAUAAUUUUCUGUCUUGAUUUUUUUAAAUGUCACUUAUAAACACUUUUGAUAAUAUUUUUAAGUAAAAUAAUUUUAUAUUGUUUCAUGAUAAAUCGAUAUAAACAUUUUAAUAAAUUUUCGUAAAAUUCAAGUUCAAAAUUUUUUUAAUUUUUUUUAAUUUUUUAUAUUCUUCAAGUAUGGUUUACAAGAUUAUUAUUAAAUUAAAACAAUUUCAAUUUCCAUAUCUAUCAUCAAAACACAAUCAGAGUAACAACACCCAAAAGUAAAAAUUGAUGACUAAACAGCAACACUUCAAAACAUUUAAAUGUGAAUAAGUAAAUAAAAAAAUAACAUCUCGCCCAUCUUCCUCUCUCAAAUCUUUUUACCAUUUGAUCCCAUUUUUAGCAUUUCACAUUGAAAAGAUGUUAUAAAUCCUUCAUUUUAGCAUUUUAGCAUCCAACUAUUACAAAUUUAGUACGUAAGCUUUUAUUUUAUAAGGUUGGUUGGAGGUGUUUGAAAAUUUGUAUUUUACAAAUAUACAAGUUUAGCCAGAGGGUUGUCGAGAUCCUUAGGAUUCUAAACAUAUAUAAAUUUGAGGUGAAUAUUUUGGUAUUCAUGUCCAUCUAUAUUGUAUAUUGUUUUUUUUUUGUUUUUUUAUGGAUGAUAAACGUUUUAUGAUGGAUAAUACAUGACCCGUCAGCUCCAGAUCCGAUGGAUAACACUUAAUAAAACCCGGAUUUAAUAUGAGCUCGACGAAGUCAUGAUCCAAUGAACAUGUGACCCAAUGAUUUUUAACGUGACAAAUCACACCCACAACCUGCCUAAUAGCAAUUGUGACCCAUAGUGUUCCCAUUUGAUAGGUUUAAGUAGCCCAAAAUAAGGUUUACUAAGUCGGUAGAAUAAGCGACCUCGGAUAGCUAACUUCAUAAUAUAAUAGUUUUUAGUUGAGAAAAACAAUUUCAAAAAGAAUUAGUUGUCACUCCUAUAUAAGUCGGAACUUUAUGCAUAUUUAUUGAGAGAUGAUAGACAACCCGUGUUAAGCUUAUCCCAAUACUCGAUAAUUCUACAACCUGAUAAACCAGGACCAGAAGAACUCGGAGGUUGAUGCAUUCGUGAUCUAAUGAACCCACGACCCAAUAAUCUGUAACCUGACAAACCCUUAACUCGUCACUUAUUUGAAAUAUAAGUAACCCGGCCAUUGAGUCUAGUCUAAUAAAUCACAUGAAUUUAUUAAAAUAUUAAUAAUUCCUAACUAUAAAAACAUAUAUGACGUCAAUAACGUAUAAGUUGAAAAUACAUAACACUCACCCGUUUAUCACAAUUCAUAUGAAAUAUUUAAAAUUAUUUUUUGAAAUCAAGAAAUACUUAUGUUUGAUAUUUAUUUUCACAUAAACUAAUUAUUAUCUAAAAUAAUUAUAUUAUAUAUCAUGUCAUAUUAUGAAGACAUUUAAUAGGAUGAGAGAGGAUAUUUAAAUUUUAAUUUAAAAAAUAAUUGAUGAUGUGGAAAUUUGAGAGAAAAGUAGAAAUUUAUGUGACAAACUCAAUUUCAUGAAUUUCUUUAAUAUAUGUUAAGAUAGUUAUAAUCCUUUUUACGACAAAUCAUCUUCAUCAUUUUUUAUGAAUAUCUUUGUCAAUUUUCGUUUGGUUUGGAGUUAUUUUGCAAAUGUGUUAUUUCACAAACAUGAUCAUUGCCUCGAUUAAUAAUUUGAGAAUGUGGAGUUGCUUCAGUGGUAUAGCAAUAUGUCUAGAAAUCUUGAGGUCAUGAAUUCAAACUUAAUACAUGUUUGUGAGUUUGUUAUGUUUUACUUUGAAAUUAUGUUUUAUAUUUUAAAAUCUUCUAAAUUUGGAUUAUGUGGUAGUCUUAUAAUUCAAAUUACAAUUAGUAAGUUAUGCGGCCAUGUGGGGAUGAGUAUGAAUAUUGAUAUUCGAAUGGGGAUGGAGACACAUAUGGUGAUGAAUUUUAUGAAUGGGUGUGGAGAUGGGUAUAAAUACCCCGUCUGAAACCUGCCACAUUGCCAAGUUUAAUUGUGAAAAAAAAUAAUAAAUCAAAAAUUAGUUUGGGGUUAAAGAAACCUACCAAUUCAAUACCACCCAUCCCCAAGUAUUAUAAAUACCACCAAAGAGAGUUUUUUCAAAUAGCUAAUGGCAAAAUAUCAUAUAUUUUGUUUUUUAUGUCAAACGAGGUAUUUUGACCCAAAUAACUCAUUUAAAUAAGGUAUGAUAAGUUAUUUGAGUCAAAAUAUCAUACCCAAAUACUUCAUCAAAAUGAUUUUUGUGUUUGCCACACAACGGAUACUCGUCAACACAAUAACAAGCCAAACUGGAGGUAUAGUCUCUAGAUGCAAAUGUACAUUAACUAAAAAUUAUCCCACCAAAAUAUAAUCAACCAUGUUCUUUUAUCUCGUUAUAAAACAAAAGUGACAACUAUAAUACGAAAAAUUAAAACCGACAUAUCGAUACGCACAAGCGGAAUAAAAUUGACAAAGGGGAUUUUACACAUUACAGUACAUACGAAUUGAAAUCGAAACAAUGAAGAAUUGGUGUAUUAGACUGCAUUAACGACGAAAAAUUAGGAAGCCUCACCAUAGCCCUCGAAUUAAUCGAUGACUAAAAGAAAAAAUGGUUUGAUUAGGAGAGGGCAAAACGAGGUGGUGAUUGGCUGAUGUAGAUGUAGGACUUGACUUCACGGCGGAGUAGUGGCUGAAUUGAAAGAAGUCAACCAUGUUGGAGUCUUAUCCCUAUUGUAUUAGUUUAAGCACGGAACAAUCGUCGUAUUACAUUCAUGAGCAUCGUGAAGAUGAUGAUAUAUACGAUGGGAGGAGGGGGUGAAGAGAGCUUAGUGCACGGAGCCCACUCCUCACGUCUUAUUGCGGAACUGAAAGUUGAAAUGACAAAAACGCCACUGAAAUAGUAAAAUACCAAUUUCUUUAUAAGAUGCAAAAAACCGAUAAAUUUUUAUACUACUUGAAACGACCAAUCAAAAUUGCCUACUUAUUCCGCCGUCACCAUCGUUCUGCCGCGCCGUUCCGCUGCUGCCGUCCCGCCGCAACCGUUCCGCCGCUGUCGUCCCGCCGCAACUGUUCCGGUCAAGUGCUGAAUGUUAGAGCGAGCCAAAUGUUUUUUAGGAAAUGGAGCGAUCUGGUAGAAGGAGGCUAGAGUCCAGAUUUAGUACAGUAUCCGGCAUCAGAGUGGCUCCCUUGCAAGCAUAAGUGAGUGUGUUGCUACACGAAUAAGAUGUUCUAUUUCGGAAACACAAGCAGAAACAAGGUGAUCCAGACUACCAAGGGGCUGCCUUAUAAAUCCGAAGUUCGGCGAUGUGUGGAAGAGGAACGGUUCGUGUACAUGAGACACCUACAUCGCUUUUGGGCUACGUUGGACUACACGAACCCUCCCGACCGUUCUAAGUGAGAAGAUGACGCCCGUGCUGAGCGCAAUGUUUCGUGAGAAACUGUUGAGGAGGUCGAGGGUUUAGGAGAAGCACACGUUCGCGCUGCCACGAGAUUGCUCCGGUCUCAUCUACAUACAGAGGCUGAGGUUCUUCAAGACCCGAAGACAUUUGAUACUCCAAAAGGCAUACCUCCCAGACAAUCCCGGACACGAGGAUGUCGUCGAUGUUUCAUAUUAGGUUGGGAUGAUAAAACUGUUUGUAUAAACGCUUUCUACAUAUGUAGGGAAUUUAUAUUUCUGUAUACUUUUGGGAAAUACUAUGGAAUGGAUUCAAAUAUGAAUGGAACACUUAUAUGACUAAUGAAAACACGGAAUGUCCUCUAAUAAAUAACUCACAUACAGUGCCAAUAAACUCAAAGUACUAAUAAUGUCAAUUAAACAAAAAACAAUCCUGGUAAAAAUUACCCAACUGAAAAGACAAAAAACAUAUAGAACGCCCAGCUCUGCCACGUCGAGGGCCCACGAUAGAAGAACCUUGUGAUCAAUGAGACGACCUGCUGCCCGCUCCUGAUCCCGAUGGAGCGCCUGUACCCCUCCAUGUUGGUCUCUUCCGCGAGCGAGCACUGUCAAGUAAGAGGGGUGAAAUGAAGUAUCACAAUCGCCAUCCUCAUCCUCGUUGCCGUCCGCCGGGAUCUGCUCAUCGUCGCCGUCUGAGUCGUCUUAGAUGGUAUGAAUGUCAUCGCCCAAAUUCGAGUGUUGGCUAGCAAAAAUCUCAUCAACCGUCAGCUCUCUCCCAGCUGAGUGCAGAUCGGGGUCUCCAUAUAUCGGUCCGGGAAUCUGAAACUGCGCACUCGACCGUCGUCCCCAUUCAACGACUGCGAAUUUCUUUUUUGUUUUUGCUUUAUUUAAAUUUUUUAACCUUUAGCGGAGCGGCGACGGCUAACAUCCCCUAGCCUAGACUUCUUCCCCUUCUCUUAUUCCUCGUUCAAUUUUCGGUUUGAGGCAGAAAUAAGACGAUUGAUAAACCGCGGCAAACGAUGAUCUCCCCUCGACAUCGCUUCCAACUAUAUAUGCAAUUUAAAUCGUAACUAUUAAUUAAGGGGAGAAGGAGACUGUUUUCAGAGAGUUGAGAGUUUCAAGUUAGGUAGUGUAUUGGAUUCGAGAGACAUUAUGUAUGUAUUUAAAUACUACGUUCAAAGGAUAUUCGCGUAGUUUUAGUCACUAAAUUCAAAUGUUGAAAUUAGACUGACUAUUUAUUAAUUUGAAAUCUUUGAUAUUGAUAAAAAAACUAAAUUCAAAUGUUAGGGCGUUGGAUAGUAAAAGGUAGGGCGUCUUAUAGCAAUUUCCAUUAAUUUAAAUGUUGCCAUUUUAGUUACUUCUUUCCGCUUUUUUUCAAUGUUAAAUUUGUAUAUACUAAUUAACCUUAAUUAGCAUGAUUAAUUAUUAAUUUUAAUGUAUUAAUUAAAUAGAUAUUCAAUUAUCAAUUAUUUAAUUAUCAAAAUAAUUGUUACAAUACUUACUAAUUUUUACUAAUUGAUCUUAAUUAGCAUGACUAAUUAUUAAUUUCUAAGUAUUAAUCAAAUACUUUACUAAACUAAAUCAUACUAAUUACUAAUUCACUCAACUAAAUCACACUAAUUAUAUUUUAAUAAUAAUAACAUACUAAUUAAAAGAAUUUAAAAAUAUAUAUAAAGGUUGNNNNNNNNNNNNNNNNNNNNNNNNNNNNNNNNNNNNNNNNNNNNNNNNNNNNNNNNNNNNNNNNNNNNNNNNNNNNNNNNNNNNNNNNNNNNNNNNNNNNNNNNNNNNNNNNNNNNNNNNNNNNNNNNNNNNNNNNNNNNNNNNNNNNNNNNNNNNNNNNNNNNNNNNNNNNNNNNNNNNNNNNNNNNNNNNNNNNNNNNNNNNNNNNNNNNNNNNNNNNNNNNNNNNNNNNNNNNNNNNNNNNNNNNNNNNNNNNNNNNNNNNNNNNNNNNNNNNNNNNNNNNNNNNNNNNNNNNNNNNNNNNNNNNNNNNNNNNNNNNNNNNNNNNNNNNUGUUGCCAUUUUAGUUACUUCUUUCCGCUUUUUGAAAUUUUAAAUCUACUAUAAAACAGUCUUAAAAUAAUUACAAAAUUCUUCUAUUCAACCAACAUUUCACAUUCUAUCACUCAUCUCUCAUUCUCUACACUCUUCAUACAAAAAUUAGUAUAAUUUCUUUCAACUCCAUCAUGAGUAAUAAAGGUGUCGAUAGGCCCGUAGACUUAAAACAUAGCCCUUGCAUGGUUUGGUGCAAAAUUUUGUGUGAUAGAGACGUGAUGAAUGGUUAAGAAUUCCUUACGUUUUGGAAUAUAAUCAAAGGGUCAUUCAAAACUAUGGUGCAAGGUACUGAUACAUUCAUGUUCCAAUAUUUUGUUGUUCAAUAAAGGAAUAAGAUAAUGUUAAUGAUGAUGUUCAAAAUGAUAGUGUGCAUAAAGUGCGUCUCAUAUUUGAGAACACAUAUCAUCAGACCCGCUCAUUAUCCUGUGCUGGUCGGUCCACCAACAUAAAACCUCAUAUGUUUUGGAGUCUUACUUCUAGAUAUAAUAUUAUAUGUGUUGUUCAAUAAAAGCCUGUGUUAUCACCACAGAACAAACGGAUAGAACAUUUGCUUGUGAUGUAUUUUGAAUCCGUGGUUAAGAGCCGGAUUUGCUUGGGUAAAAAGACGAGACGGAUUUACCUUUUCAUCUCCCACGUGGCAGCUUAAAACGUUAGGCUUCCGAUAGAUCUUCUUUCUCCCUCCUUCCCUCCCUCCGUCUCUUAAGAAACAAUUCAUUCAACGCAGAAACAGAUAACCGAAACCCUAAGUCCAGUUCAAAGGGUUUCUCAGAAUCUCUCCGGCUACCGGAGAUAACGUGCUCUGCAAUUGUUUUCUUACCGACUACAGCUGUAGUCUCGGGAUUUCGAUUUUGAGAUAUUAUUCUUAUCCAUGACGACGGAGAAUAGUGCGACAUCCAGAUCGAAUUCAGCGGCGGAUUCGUACAUAGGAAGCUUGAUAAGCUUGACUUCCAAGAGUGAGAUCAGAUAUGAAGGCGUUCUUUACAACAUCAAUACUGACGAGUCCAGUAUUGGAUUGAAAAACGGUAACCACUUCGUAGCUGGAAAUUCUUGGGGAGGGGGUUUAUUUAAUCGAUUUUGCUUGUAUUGAGCUGAUUUGAAUGUAUUUGCUAUACGUUUCUGUACUAGUGCGUUUAAGGUUUUGCUGUUGGAGCUUAAGUUGAAGUCCUAGAUAAAUUGAAUCUAAAAUGAGAAUUCCUUUCUGUUUGACAGCUCCUAAAUUCCUAACUUUACUAGUGAUUUUUUUGGUAGAAAAUUUUGCCGACUAUGCUUCGGUGUUGAACUCUUUAAGGAUUUUGAAACUCUUGAUUAUUGCAUAUUCAAUCUGAUUCUCGUGCUUUGACGCUAUAAUUCUCGACAUGGAGUCUUGGAGCGUUUGUUUUGUUUAUCUCAAAUUUCGUAUUUGAUUGAUAAAUUUGCUAUGUCUACCAAGUUCGACUACUUUUCAUGCAUAAUCUGUAUAUGCUCUGCUUAUUUGCCGUUUGCACCAUGUAGUUCGGUCCUUCGGAACUGAAGGACGGAAAAAGGAUGGCCCGCAAAUCCCUCCCAGUGACAAAGUGUAUGAGUACAUAUUGUUCCGAGGAACUGACAUUAAGGUACCACAUAGAGAUACUUGCCUAGAUAUUGUGCUAUCUUCAGUAUCCGCUUAAUUUGCUUUGCAACCGCGCCUUAAACACAUCAAACAUAUGCUUAGUGGUUUCUUUUUUCUUGCUAUUUUUGUGCAUUUCUCUCCAUGUAUCUGUAAAUUGUAAUAGCCUGCAUUGUCUCAUUUCACACAUACAACUACGAGGUUUGUUCAAGUCGAGGUCUGAUGAUGUGAAGCACCCCACAUUUGAAAACCAGUGCUUUUAGAGUCAGAUGACUGUCAAUACUUGAUUACAAGACAAAAAAAUUUUAUCAUCGAAUUUUUGCCUCAUUGAUAACUUGUUUCUGCGCAAAUAGGAUGAAAGAAUAUCAGUAGAAAUACUGACCUUCAUCCUGAGCGAAAUGAUUGAUUGAUAAUUCCCGAGAAGUCCGAGAAUUUCUUGCCGAGUUUGUGAACAUUGUAAAGUGUCUAUUAAUUCUGACAUCCGUACUGAUUUUUUCAUGAGUAAAAAUUCAAUUAAUAUGGUUUUUUUUCCUCACGAUGUUCGUGUUUGUCGUGCUGCUUGCUUUUAGUGUAUCUGAUAAUCACAGAUUUUUGCAUCCAAGGUAGCUUCAACCUACUGCACACUUUCUAAUAGAUCAAAAUUCCUUUAUUAGCAACUUUACGUAUUUGGUUGUUAUACUAUUUUAUUACUCCUUCAUGGUUCCUAUAUGCAUAUGACGAAACAAUCUCACUCAAAUGCAUAUAUACACUCGCCAACAAAUGCUAUAAUUUAUUCUUUCUCUAUUACAGGACUUGCAGGUUAAAUCAUCACCCCCAGCUCUUCAGCCCGCGCCGCCUCUAAACAAUGAUCCAGCUAUUAUACAGGUAAGUUAAAGGCAAUGAAUUCACAUGUAGCACACUUCUUUGCAUCCGGAGAUAGCCUGCUAUUGUUGCUCAGUCACCGGCAAUUUUCAUGCAGUCUCACUAUCCUCGACCAGUUUCAACUUCUUCGGGCAUGCCUUCUGCUGUUUCUGGAUCCUUGCCUGAUGCCGGGUCCCAAAAUGCACAAAUGGGAAUGUCUGCACCAAAUUAUCAAAGUGGUUUGCCAUUGUAUCAACCUGCAGGAGCCUUAGGAACAUGGGGGCCUUCACCUCCUCCAAAUGCAAAUGGAACUGGGCUUGCUAUGCCGAUGUACUGGCAAGGGUAUUAUGGUCCUCCUAACGGGCUUCCGCAAAUGCACCAGCAAUCUUUGCUUCGUCCACCACAAGGGUUGACAAUGCAUUCUCCUAUGCAGCAGCAAAUGCAAUAUCCGAACUUUAAUGCCCCGUUACCUAUCGGAGCUUCAAACUUUCCGGUAUCAAAUAUGCCCACUCAAAGCCUGCCACCAUCAAAUAUGCCCACUCAAAGCUUGCCAUCAUCAAAUAUGCCCACUCAAAACUUGCCACCAUCAAAUCUUCCAGUGUCAAACUUUCCACCAUCAAAUCGGCCAGCGUCAAACUUUCCACCAUCAAAUCUGCCAGCGUCAAACUUGCCACCAGCUUCAAACUUGCUAACGUCCAUGUCUGAUGUUUCACCUCUACUCCCUACCAGCAUUUCUGUAAACUCAAUGUCGCUGUCCUCAACUCUGCUUCCAACCCUUACAUCAGUGCCCUCUUCUACCGAACCUUCUUCUGAUGCAUUGCCUGGUUUAGUACCUGCCCGGGCUACCAACUUAGUUCUUCCAGCAUCCAACUUAAGUCCCAACUUUCCCUCCCUAAUACAACUACCAACUUCAAUGUCUGAAUUGAAUCCCAUUUCUGGAAAGCCUAACCAAGUUGCUGCUCAAGUGAUUCCUAGCACCGGGCAGCCCGAAUCAUCAGCCUCUGGUCCUUCAGUUCCUUAUCAUAACACUGUAAAGCCAGUUUCACCAGCUGCUGCAUCACGCACCGAAGCACCAACACCUUCACUGGUAACCCCUGGCCAGCUACUGCAAUCUGUACCUGCAGCAGUUAUUAGGUCAUCCGAGCCCGAGCAAGCAGCUCAUAUGGACGUGAAAGUUAUUCAAGCGUCUGCAACAUCUUCAUCAGAACCAGUUCUUCCCAUUGCUACAGAAGCUCAGCCACCAAUUCUCCCGCUGCCUGUACCCUCUCGUACUAGCCAUAAGGUGUAUAUUUUUUGUGCCUACAAUGGAUCAAUACGUUUAAUAGUUGAAUUAAAUUUAGUUCUUCCCAUGAGUUGUAGUCCAUAUCUUUUGCGUUAUAACUUGUUACCUUCUCUUCAUGUCUUGCGGUAAGGUAGUUGUUUGCCAAUAUAAUAGUCUAUAUUUGCAUUCAUUAAUUUAUUUUAGUCUGCAAUUGCAUGAUUUCCUGUUUCAUCAUCUAUGUUCUUAGUUUGCAUAGUUUGCUCUUCUUCAUAGCUUCUGUCAUGUAGGAUGGUAGGUGCAUUCGACUAUUUUCGGUCAGUUUCAGUCUGACCAAGUUUCAUAUAAAAUCAUAUGAUUUUCACUUGGAAGGAACAAGGACUAGUUCAUAGUGCUCUGGUUAGGAUUGCGUCUAGUAAAAAUAGGGUUGUAUGGUGCAUGUGAUUAAGCUUGCAGCUUUAGCUUCUCUUGUCCUCUAUGUAUGCCUAUAAGGACUUACAGAUCCUUUUCUUUUUUGACUCAUUUUUUGACAGCCAAACGGAGCUCCAUAUCACUCUCGCCAUAAUCAUGGCUACCGUGGACGGGAUAGGGGAAGGGGAGUUGGGGUAAUUUCUCACCCCCACUUGCAGUUGUUUGUACUUAUGCUGCCUUCAUGAUUUUUGAUUAUUCUAAGUGGUGUUCAAAAUUCUUUUAUCCAUCCAAAACUUAGGAAUUGCUUCCUCAUUACUUUUCUUAAUUUAUUAUGAAGUCAGCAUGCAAAAAAAAUUUCCUGAGGUUUUCAAAACAGUUUAUAGCUCACUGUGAUACUUCCUUCAUGGAACUAGACAUGUUAAAAUGUUCAGUUUCACUAUCUCUCAGAUGCUUCCUGUUUUGGAUCUCAUUUUUUGAGUAAUUCUCUAUUUCUCACGCUGGAAUUUAUCUUUCCCCAACUUUCCAUUUGAUUACUGUAACUGAAAUCUCAUGUGUAGGGUUCACGUCCGCUGACUAAAUUUACGGAGGAUUUUGAUUUUAAUGCAAUGAAUGAGAAAUUUAAUAAGGAUGAAGUAUGGGGUCACCUUGGUAAGAACAAGACGAAAGACAAAGACGAUGUCAAAGCCAGUGAUGAAGAUGAUUUUGAAGAGGAAGAUGAGGUCGGCAAGGUCAGUGUUAAUGUGACACUUUGGUUUGAUUACAUAUGAUAACGCUGUGUAUGAAACGGUUGUGAAUGGUUUAGCCCUGCCAAAUCUUCUGGUGAUACUCCGCGAAAGAUUGUUUAGGGUGUCUUUUUUACCCCGCUAAAUUUUUAUUUUGACCUUGCAGCCGGUUUACAACAAGGACGAUUUUUUUGAUACCCUUUCUAGCCAUACAAUGGCCAAGGGGACGAUCUCGCGGUUCGUACAAUGGAAGGGGAUAUAAUGGGUAUGGUUACAAUGGUUUGAGGGGUCGUGGGAGGGGGAUGCCGAACCGCGAAUCCUAAACUAUAGUACUUAGAAAUCUAGCUAUGGGUGAAAGCUCCCAACUUUUAACUUGGUGAAGCAGCAAGCGGGACGGUUUAAGGAUAUGCUAUGUCUGUGGGGGUGUUUUUAUGUAGUUUGGCGAAGGAGAAAUAAGGACAGGAGAUGAUAUGUGUGGGCUUUUUGUUUUAGGAUAUCUUGGUCUCUUUUCCCCGUCUGAUUCCUUGUCGCCUUUCCCCUCCUCCUUCCUGGGUAAUGGCGUUCAUUGUUGUGGCCAACCAGUCGAGGCAGUGGGUUUGCGUCAGCUGAAUUAUAUUUCUUGUUUUUUUUUUGGUUAUGUAAAACAUGAGCCUGCCGCCUAAGUAGAACUUAACAAUGGAGAGAGAAGCUGACGAACAAGGGAAUUGACCCUCUUUUCUAGAGGGGUGUAUUGCUUCUGCACAUAGCCAUUGUUAUGGUUGGAUGUAUCUUUCUGUUUUUCUAGAAUGGUCUUAUGGGGACUUGUGUAGUUGAAUGUUAAUCAAUGCAUCUUUGAACUAUAUUUGAAGACAUGUUUUAGUAUGUGCCUUGUGUGUGGCGUUUAUGUGCUCGUAUCACUUUUAUCGGCUGGCUUACACGUCACGCUGAUUGAAGCGUUGGUUGUAUAACUGGUCUAACCCAGGGCUUAAUAGUUGCCGAAUAAGGCAGAGUUGACAGAUAGCAUUACUGUUACUCAAUCGAAUCGUAUCUGAGAUUUCCACCUCAUAUCGCUUCUCGUUUAAUUCUUACUGAAUCGUACAUGAGAUUUUCACUUCAUACGAUUUCUCGUUUCAUUCUUAUUGAAUCGUACAUGAGAUUUUCACUCCACACGAUUUCUCGUUCAAUUCUUUUUAAGUCAUCAAUUAUUUUCCUUGUUUGAGACACUACUUUGUUCAAAAGAAUAACAAAAGGACAAAUUCAGUCACGUUUUCACUUUUCAAUUAAAGACUUUCCUUGUUUUUAAUUCUUAAAAGGAAAAAAGUUAUUUUUACCAAACGUGUGCGGAUUCAGUCAUGAUCUUAUAUCCAGUUAUCCCUUGAGUAACUAUUAUUCUUUGCUAAGCGUGCUUGCUAUAAUUUUCUGGGACAAGAUGAAAUUCUUAUUCAAAUUAUAUCAUUGUGAGUUGGGAGGAUUUGGGUCGGGAAAGGAUCCCAGACAAAUGUUUUGUAGUAGAAUUAGGCCUAAAAUAAGACUUGUUAGACAGUGCAAAAUAGAAAAGGAAGUAAGCAUUACGUUAGUAUCCGUUUGUAAUGUGUACUUCUUAGACAAAUGUAUCCUGAGCCCACGCACAAGGAUAUAUUAUUACAGAUCGGCCUUCCCUCCCUCCCUCCCUCUCCGUUUCAUUACAGAAGAAACAAAUCAUUCUAAGCAAGAAAAAAGUUAAUUGGAACCCUAAAUCCAGUUUGAAGGGUUUCUCAUCAUCCCUCCGGCGACCGGAGACAACGUGCUCUGCGAUUGUGUUCUUAUCAACUACAAUUGUGGUUUCCAGAUUUCGUUUUUGAGAUAUAUAUCUCAUCCUUCAUGAUGGAGAAUAGUGCCAAUUCGACUUCGACAUCCAGAUCGAAUUCAGCGGCGGAUUCAUACAUAGGAAGCUUGAUAAGCUUGACUUCCAAGAGUGAGAUCAGAUAUGAAGGCGUUCUUUACAACAUCAACACUGAUGAGUCUAGUAUCGGAUUGAGAAAUGGUAACCACUUCGUAGCUGCAAAUUCUUGGGGUUUUAUUUAUUUAUUCGCUUCGAUUUUGAUUGUAUUGAGCUGAUUUGACUAUAUUGGCUAUAUUUUUUUUUUUUUAGUGCUUGUCAGGUUUCUGUUGGGAGCUUAAGUUGAACUUAGGUCAAUUCAAUCUAAGUGCAUAAUCCUUUCUGUUUGACGGCUCUUCAAUUCCUGACUUUACAAGUUGAUGACAUUUGCUAGAAAAUUUUGCAUUGUUGACUAUGCUACGGUGUCUUGAAGGAUUUUGAAAUCAUGGAUUAUUUCACAUUCUAUCUGAUUUUCGUGCUUUGCUUUCCAUGCGUAGUCUGUAUGUGCUCUACUUAUCUGCCGUUUUCUCCUUGCAGUUCGGUCCUUCGGAACUGAAGGACGGAAAAAGGAUGGUCCGCAGAUCCCUCCCAGUGACAAAGUGUAUGAGUACAUACUGUUCCGAGGAACUGACAUCAAGGUACCACAUAGAGAUGCCCGUAUUCUGUACUCUCUGCAGGAGUCACUUAGUUUGCCUUACGAUCCCCACUUAAAUACGAAAUAAUAUACACGAUGGAUUGUUUUAUCUAGCUAUUUUUCUGCACUUCUUUUUAGAUAGUUGUGAUGGUGAGCACCGUCUCAUUUCACAUUUCUUUCAACCACUGAGGUUUGUUCGGGUCAAGCCUGAUAAAGGGAAGUACAUCACAUUUGAAAACUAGUGUUUUUAGACUGUCAGAUGACUGUCAAUAGUUGGUUACACGAUAAAAGUUCUUUAUCAGUUCAUUAUCGAUAGCCAGUUUCUGUGCAAAUAGGAUGGAAGAAUCUUUGUAGAACUACUGACCUCCCCCCCUAAGGAAUUGAAAUCAUUGAUUGACAAUACCUUGUUGCUUGUGCACGUGAAUUGUUAGUGACGGCUUUGUCGACAUGUUAAAUUAUCUUUUAACUCUGACAUCGUUACUCAUUUUUAUGGUUACCCGAUCAAUUAUCUAGGAAUUUUAGUCUCAUAAUGUUUUGUUUGUCAUGCUGGUUGCUUUUACCCUCAUUAUCUUGUAAUUCUGAAAUCGUUUUAGCCUCAUGUUGUUCAUGCUCUUCAUGCUGGUUGUUUCUAGUGUAUCUGAUACUUCCAGAAUUUUGUAUAUGAGCCAUCUCCAACCUACUAGGCGGUUUUAAUUGGUCGAAACUCUCUUUGUUUAGCAUCUUCAAAUAUUUGGUUGCUGUAUUGUUUUAUCACUCCUUCAUGGUGCAUAUAUACAUGACAAACAGUCUUAGUCAAAUACAUAUACACACGCACACACCAAUAAACACUAAACUUUAUUCUUUGUCUCUAUUACAGGACUUGCAGGUUAAGUCAUCACCCCCUGUUCUUCAGCCCACGCCAUCUAUCAACAAUGAUCCAGCUAUUAUACAGGUAAGUUCAAGCAAUGAAUUCACAUGUAGCACACUUCUUUACAUCCAGAGACAGCCUUCUACUGUUGCUCAGUCACCGGCAUUUUUCAUGCAGUCUCACUAUCCUCGACCAGUUUCGACUUCUUUGGGCAUGCCUUCUGCUGUUUCUGGAUCCUUGCCUGAUCCUGGGCCCCAAAAUGCACAAAUGGGAAUGUCUGCACCAAAUUAUCAAAGUGGUUUGCCAUUGUAUCAGCCUGCAGGAGCUUUAGGAACAUGGGGGCCUUCACCUCCUCCAAAUGCAAAUGGAACUGGGCUUGCUAUGCCGAUGUACUGGCAAGGGUAUUAUGGUCCUCCUAAUGGGCUUCCUCAAAUGCACCAGCAACAAUUGCUUCGUCCACCGCAAGGGCUCACAAUGAAUUCUACUAUGCAGCAGCAAAUGCAAUAUCCGAACUUUAAUGCCCCGUUACCUGUCGGAGUUUCAAACUUCCCGGUAUCAAAUAUGCCCUCUCAAAACAUGCCACCGUCCAAUCUUCCAGCCUCAAACUUGACACUGUCCAAUCUGCCAGCCUUAAACUUGCCACCAGCUUCGAACAUGCUAACUUCUAUACCCAUUGUUUCACCUCCUCUACUCCCUACCAGCACUUCUGUUAACUCUAUGCCGUUGUCUUCAGGCCUGCCUCCAACCCUUACAACAGAGCCUUCUUCUACCAUACCUUCUGAAGCAUUGCCUGGUUUGGUACCUGCCCGGGCAACCAACUCAGUUAUUCCAGCAUCCAACUUAAGUGCCAACUUGCCAUCCCUAACACAACUACCAACUUCAAUAUCUGAAUUGAACCACAUUCCUGGCAAGCCUAACCCAGUUGCUGCUCCUGCAAUACCUUAUUCUAGCAGCGUACAGCCUGAAUCAUCAGCUGCUGGUCCUUCAGUUCCUUUGUAUAACACUGCACUGCCGGCAUCAUCAGCUGCUGCAUCACGCACAGAAUCUCCUUCACUGGUAACCCCUGGCCAGUUACUGCAAUCUGGACCUUCAGCAGUUCAGUCAUCCGAGCCCCUGCAAACAGCUCAUACUGACGUGAAAGUUAUUCAGCCGUCUGCAACGUCUUCGUCAGAACCAGUUCUCCCCAUUCCCAAGGAAGCUCAACCACCAAUUCUCCCAUUGCCUGUACCUUCUCGGUCAGGCUAUAAGGUGUAUAUCUUUCAUACCUACAAUAGAUCAAUACUUACAACUCUGUUGCCUUCUCUUCAUGUGUUGCGGUAUGGUUUAAGUUCUACGUGAAGCUAAUUUUCUAUAUUGGGAUUCACAUAUAAAUUUUGAGUUAGCUAUUGCUUGAUUUCCUGUUUCAUUAUCUAUGGUCUUACCGUCUUAGUUUGCCCUUGGCAUUCCUAAAUUAAUUUUGAGUUAACUAUUGCAUGGUUUCCUGUUCCAUUAUCUAUGGUCUUAGUUUGCGUAGUUUUCUCUUGGCAUUCCUAAAUUGGUUUUGAGUUAACUAUUGCAUGAUUUCCUGUUCCAUUAUCUAUGGUCUUAGUUUGUAUAGUUUUCUCUUCUUCGUAUCGGUAAUGCAGAAUGGUAGGUGCAUUAAACUAUUUUCUGUUAGUUUCAGUCUGAUCAAGUUUCUUGUAAAACAAAUGAUUCCGCUUGGAAGGAAAAAUGGCAAGUUCGCUGUAGUCUUGUCAGGAUUGCGUCAAUGUCUGCACAAUAACACUUAGUCUUGUUAUUACGGUUGCAUAGUGCCGGUGAUUAAGCUUGCAGCUUUAAUCAUUUCUUCUCCUGCAUGUAUGCUUUUGAGGGCUAACAGUUCAUUUUUAUUUUUGACUUAUUUUUUAACAGCCUAACGGAGCUCCAUACCAUACUCGCCAUGGUCAUGGCUAUCGUGGACGGGAUAGAGGAAGAGGAGUUGGGGUAAUUUCUCACUCCCACUUGCAUUUUGUAUGUACUUUAGCUGCCUUCAUGAUCUGCAUAUCAGUCCUUGUGACUUGAAGUAUCACUCGGAAGUUUUGAUUACUCUGAGAGGUUUAAAUUUUUCUAAUCUAUCAGACACUUAAGAAUUGUUGGCUCAUUGGUUUUCUUAUUUUAUUAUUAGCUUGGCAUGUUAAGCGAUUUCCCGAUGUUUUUUAAACGUUCUAUAGUUCACUGUGAUACUUCCUUCAGGGAACUAGACUUAUAUGAUGUUUACUCUAAUUGUAGCUCUCACAUACUUGAAGUUUUGGGUCUCAAUGAGGGUUUUGAUUACUUUUUCUGUUUCUCACGCUGGAAUUUAGCUUUCCCAGUGAAUAACUGCAAUCAAAAUCUUAUGUGUAGGGUUCACGUCCGAUGACUAAAUUUACUGAGGAUUUUGACUUUUUGGCAAUGAAUGAGAAAUUCAAUAAGGACGAAGUAUGGGGUAACCUUGGUAAGAACAAGGCAAAGGACAAAGAAGACGGCAAAGCCAGUGAUGAAGAUGAUUUUGAAGAGGAAGAUGAUGUCGGCAAGGUCAAUGUUUUUCUGGCAUUUCAUUCUACUCCCUUCUCCUUGGUUGAUUACUUAAGAUAAUGCUGUUAAUGAUUCGACAUGAAUGUGUACCUUCCACCCUGAAAUUUCAAAGGGAUAUGCAUAGUUGAGCUCUGCUAAAUCCUGCGGUAAUUAGGCGUGGAAAGAGUGUUUAGGGCAUUUAUUUUCUAUUAUUAGCUAAAUUUCGAUUUUCUACCUUGCAGCCGGUAUACAACAAGGACGACUUUUUUGAUACCCUUUCGAGCCAUACACUUGGCCGCGAUUCACAAAAUGGAAGGCCUAGAUUCUCGGAUCAAAUGAAGUUAGACACAGAGGUUAUUGCUACAUUAAUUUAUCAAAUGCUGAUUGUAUAUUUAAACCAUACCGGUGCUAAUGGUUCGCUAAUGUUACAGACUUUUGGUGAUUUCCCAAGAUAUCGAGGCCGUGGAGGGCCACGGGGACGGUCUCGUGGUUCAUACUAUGGAAGGGGAUAUGGGUAUGGAUAUAAUGGUGGGAGGGGACGUGGGAACCGUGAUUCCUAGUUUAUGGUGCUUAGGAAUCUAGUUAUGGUUGAAGCUUUGAGGUAGACCCCAACUUUUAACUUUUGGUCUAGGGUUAUGGUAUAUGUCUGUGAGGGUUGUUUUCAUUUUAGUUUGGCAAAGAGAAACAAGGAUCGGAGAUGAUGUCUGGUUUUUUUUUUGUUUAGGAUAUAUUGGUGUCUUCCCCUCCUGAAUCCUUGUCGUUGGCCUUCCUCCUUACUGGUUAAAGGCGGCGGUCUUCGUAGAGGAAGUGGGUAUGCGUCCGUUGAAUGACAUUUCUUGUUGUUUGUUUGUGUGAAAACAUGAUGCUGUCGAUUUAGUAUAAAGUUACAAUGGAGGGAGAAACUGAUGAAGAAUGGACUGACACUCCUUUCUGUGGGUGUGUCAUGGCCAAUGCGAUGGGUUGUAUCUAUCUUGGCAGAAUGGUUUAGUUGAUUGUUAAUCAGUGCAUCCUUGAACCCUAUAUGAAGAGAUGUUUCGGAAUAUGUUUUUUUUGUGUGUGGUGUUGUUGUGUUUGUUAAUAUUGACUGCAGGCUUCUACAUUACUCUGGUUGAUUGUAUAACUUGUCUUAUACGUCGUUGAUCAAAAAGAAAUUGCAGGACUUGUCUCAAGUCUGAGCUUAAUCGUCAUUGAACUGGUACUAGUGUCUGCCAUGGGACGUGAGUUCCCCCAUCCAAAUGUGCUCCAUUGUCAAUGAAUUUGUUGAUGUAACCCGUGUACUGCCCGUAUCAUAUCUAAUACUUGCAUAGCUAAAAACAUUUUUUUUUCUCAAACUAGACCUUUCGGUUAGUAUAAGAUAGAAAAAAGAAAAAAGCAAUACAUAUGUGUUUGUACGUAGGGUGUCCGGUACCUAUGGGUUGUCAGAACCUACGGGCAUACAUUUGGUUGUCAACCGUCUGGCGACCGGGGUCUAAAUAAAUUCACAAUACCACCACUUCCGCCAUGGUUGCCCUUCUUCCUAAACUGACAUGGUCAUAAAUAAGGCUAAAUCUGAUUUUAUUGAGUCCAAACAGUUUUGUCGCUGUUUUAAAUCAUAGAUUGAGCGAGUCAAACGAGUUGAUCAUAAGGUAUGCAGAACAUUUUUACCAGUUAAAGAAGAAAAAGCGUCAGAUUUACGGCUACUUCCUCUUGAUCGAUGAAAGUAAAGCUUUAUCUUUUUGUAUUUUUACAUUACAUUAUACAUGAAAACAAUCCUUCCAAAGGUAAAAAAGACAACCAUACAUGUAAUUGUCAGAGCUCAUUGUUCAGCUCGGCAAAUGACUCUCCAACAAUGGUGAAAUGAUUCCACCAGCACUUUGAUUCCAUAAAUUAUAAAAUAGACACAGCAAAAUAAUUGUCAUAUCAUUUUCGUACGAGAGAGCAACGGGCUGCAUAAAAGAACAGUCAUUGUCUCGUAGAAAUUAGGAAAGCCGCGGAGGAUCCUUAGAUGAGCCAGCUGUCCGCCAGCCAACUGGAUUUUCCGAUGUCCGUUUCCCCACCACCACCGUUGUCUCUUGUGCUCUGUUUCUUUUCUUUAUUUUCCCACUACACACCAAUUCUCUUGUUUUUUACUUUCUCCCACCCAUUGUUUUACUCGGAAUCUCUCUGCCUUCGUCCUCUCCUCUUCACUUGGCUGGCCUCUACAUAAAUUCCCAUCCCAUUUAAUUGCUGAAAAUCCUAAAAUUUAUAUCACUAACCAUUAAUUUUGUUAUGUUUAAUUUCGAGAAUCAUUCCUCGGCUUUUUUUUCCAAAUUAAUUUUGAUUAUGGUUUCAAAUCUUGCUUCACUCAAAUUAGAAGUUACAAACGUAAUUCAUCAACGAUAUAUGACAAUUAAUUCUAUUUAAUAACUCGCUUAACCGUAUAAAAUACUACGUAUUCUUUAGUAUUUAUGUGAAUAUAAAAAGUAAAAGUGAUUCCUCUCUGUUCCGAGGUAUCCCAUUCUUCUGGAAACCAAAACGAAUUACGAAAACAACAUCCGCAAACCAACAAACGUAAAUUACUAAAACGUCAGUUCCUCUACGUGCGACGCCGGCCAUAAAAACUAUACACAAAACGACGCCGUCUCACACUUCCACUUCCCUAUAUGUACGUACCAUCCCCCAGCCAAACUUCAAACACUCACACACAACACAACACAACAAUUCGUUCUACCUAAUAUAAAAAAUGGCGAGCAGCAAGUACUUCAAGAUCGGGAGCUGCGAAGGGCAGAAGGAGGUGGACGGAGAAACGAUGCCGUUGGUGCUCGAGCCGGCCGACCAAGACAACAAGGACAUCGGGUCCCUCCUGGAGGCUCUGAGCAACAACAAGGAGUGGUUCGACCAAAUGAUCACCAAAAACAGCGCCGUUUUGCUCCGCGGGUUCGACGUCCAGAGCGCCGUCAACUUCAACGACAUCGUUGAGGCUUGCGACUGGGAGGACAUCAGGUAUGUGGGGCCCGCCCCUCGUACCCACAUCCACAAGCGGGUAUGGACCGCCAACGAGGGCCCGCUCUCCGAGUUCAUCUACUACCACCAUGAGAUGGUCCUGGUAAGUUAAUUAGUUUUUACAAACUAAUCACAUUUCCUUAAUAAUUAAUUAUGAAAGUGGUAUGGUAUUACAUUGAAUAAUAAUGAUCUAUAAUGUAUAGAUAAAGGAGUUUCCGAAGAAGGUGAUAUUGUACUGCGAGAUUCCGCCGACGGAAGGAGGGGAGACGCCGUUUGUUCCGAGCUUCAAAGUGACGGAGAAGAUGGUGAAGGAGUUUCCGGAAGAAGUGGAGGAGAUAGAGAAGAAAGGACUGAUGUACACAUUCUCAGCUCCGACAAGGAACACAACUACUUCCAUGAGAGGCAGAGGUUGGGAGGAUGCUUUCCUCACUUCCGACAAACACGAGGCCGAGAUCAGGUACCCUUUUAUUAAUAAUAACACUAACAGUCUUUUUAAUUAGGAUCAAUCAACUUUGCACAAAUUUCAUAAAUAACAUUUAUUCUUUGGAAAAAAUAUAUUUGGAGAGUCCACGAUGAUAUCACUAGAGCAGGUGAUGGAUCGAGUCAUUAUCGUCGUUUGCUCUAACUUUAAAUGGUUUAAGAGAUCGUUUGGAUGGAUAAUUUCACAGAAAAUAAACUGAACUGAAAUACCUAGUGAAUUAGGUUUGAAAAAUAAUAUUUAUUUAAUUUAGUGAUUUAUAUAUAUUUUCAUUUGGGCGAUUUAUACUGAAAAUUAAAGCACAUUGCGAAAUAAGUGUUUAUGGAUAAGAAAAAAGAAGUAGUAAUGUUAAUGGUAAUUUUUGAAUUAAUGAGAUAAAUGACAUAUUCAAAAAGAAAAAUCAAUGCACUUACUAUUUUUUGAAAUCUCACAUGGUUGAAAAUUUUAAUUCAUUUUGAUGUGAAAAUCAUUUGGGCCAACCAAAAAAAAUUUAAUUCACAAAAUCUCUUUUUAUUUUUCCUAGCCGAAACAGUCUAUUUUAAACCAAUUUUUCAUAUAUGAGUUUUCGAUCUCAUAAAUAACCUAAAAUCAACCACAAAAUUCUCUGAAUAAAUAGUCACUAAGAUUGUUAACUUGAUAAUUAAACAACAUCAUAUAGGUCAAAUCCGGAAUUUUAAUAACUCCAACCAACCUGAUCACUUGUCUAAACUAAAUCAUAAUCGAUUAAGCUCACAUUUGUUUGUUAUAGGCGUCGUUGACCCCAAAAAAGCUUAAUUUAUCCAAGCUGAUGAUAAGGAUAUCAGAUUAUUAUUAUUAUUAUUAUUAUGACAUCAACAUGAUUUUUAAUAAUUUGUUGGGGACAGGGCAAAGGCUCUAGGAAUGGAGAUAGAGUGGCUCCCAAACGGAGGAGCCAAGACGAUAUUGAGACCACGGUCACUGACUAGGGUGUUCGAAGGGAGGAAAGGGAGAAGGAUGUGGUUCAACACUGUCGUCGGAAUGCACGGCAAGGAGCAGAGCUCCGCAACAAUGGCGGACGGGACAGAGAUACCAGAGAAGUUUGUGAAAAGGUGUGGGGAGAUACUUGAAGAAGAGAGCAUCCAGUUCAAGUGGCAGAAGGGUGACGUGGCCUUCUUCGACAACUGGGCUCUGUUCCAUGGAAGAAGGCCUUCUUCUGCUCCAAGGAAAGUUCUUGUUGCCACCUGCAAGUGAUGAUCAGCUGGAUGCAAUGGGAUUUCAGGACUAUGUCUGAAUUUCUUCAUACUUUUAAAAGUCUACACUAUACUGAAAUAAGAACAACAGAAGGAGUCAGUAGUGUCUUUGUUUGUUUUAUUUUUACUUGUCAAUUUCCUUUCAUGUCUCCAGAGUCUGCUAUACUUUGUUAUUUGCUGGAACCAAUUAAGUGAAUAAUAACAUGAUGUGUAGAGUGUAUACAAAUGUGUGGGAUACCCAUAUAUAUGUUACCUGCAUUUCAAUAAUAUAUUUUACUACUUUUCUUACUUCAAAAAAGGUAUACCAAAAUAAUAUAGUAGUCUAGACAACAGUGAACAAAAACUAUAGUCAGUGUGUAAUCAACGUAGCGUGUGAAGCCUCGCAUGAGCAUCACUUGCUCUCUCAACGAUCCUCGACGGCAUAGAUCGGAAAUUUUUCUGUAAGUUUUUGGAUGGUGAUGAACACCCGACAUCGGCGUAGACUGGAAAUUUUUCUGUAAGUUUUUGGAUGGUGACGAACACCCGACAUCAGCGUAGACUGGAAAUUGAUGGCGGUGGCGAUCAAAGACUGAUGGUAUCAGCAACCUGCGACUGACAACCGAUGGCCGCGACAACUGACAUAGAUAGAGCCGAGUUUCAAGCUACGCAAUUACGAGUCCGAUUCUAAAACUAGUGGAUUUCCUUCUUAGAUCCGAUAGAAGAAAUCUAGCCCGUUGGAUUUUCACAUACUAAGAACAUUACCCAAUAUAAUCAUGUAUAUUUAAAUAUUUUUGUUGGACCAAACCAACAAUCUCCAAUUGAAUCGUGAUCGUGGUCCUUUAUGAUCCAGUUUAGUCACAACCUGGUCUGGUUUCGACAUAAAUGAGAAAACUCGAGAGCCGAGACUCGGACACAACGAUGAUGAUGGUCAGUUCACUAAACCCAAAACAAACGACCAUGGCAUGAGGCCCGAGUUACCAAUAUCCAACCCUGCGGUGACCAAGAAAUGAGCUCGUCGUCAGCCACCGGACCUCCGUCAUCCCUUUUCCUCCGUCCGACCGACGCUCCUUCCCUUUCUCGGCGUCGCAAUGUCGUCAUCCUAAGCUCUUUUUCCAUUUCAUUUCUCCGAUCCAAAAACCCUAGGUUACUCCGCCUCUCUGCUACUCCCAUCGAUGGUCAACUUGACAUCUCUUGGUUCCUCCCUACUCCUACCAACCCUCCUUCUGCCGAUGCCAACGGCAAUGACUUCAACGGCUGGGCCAUCGUCGAAGUCCCUCCGCCGCCCAAGAAGGAGAAGAAAGGUACCUUAAAACUCUGUUUGUCGAAAUUGAGUGAAGUUUUUUCGCAAAUUGUCUACUGCUUAAGUUCAGAUGAAACUAUCGCAGGACUUCCCAAGGGGGUAAUUGGUGGAAUUGGGGUUUGUGCUGCUGCGGCUGUUGCCGCCGCUGCAUUGUUCUCACUCUCGAGAAGUGGUUAGUUCUUUUUCUUUGCCGAGAUGAAAGUUUUUGUUAGUCCAUUUCUGAAUUAUUGAGGUAGUGAUUCCAAUGUUUGGAAUGUCAAUUCCCACAGGAUUUAGAUUGCAACUUCGCAGCCCUAAGGAUGCCAUUGUAACUAAUGAGGAUACCCAAAUCGAAACCGACAACGAAACCAGGGACGUUGGUUUGGGUGAUGAAGAUGAGGGUGUUUCUGAGGUUAUCCGUGAGUCUAUUGCUGAGCAUCCUUUGGAAUACGAAAUUUCUGCUACAUGUUUACCCUUUUAUGAUUUUCCAUUUCCAUCACAAUUGAUUCUUGACACUGAAGGAUUUAUCAAGUUUAUUUCUUGGCUAUCAAUUGGUGGUGUUACUUUUUCUACGUUUAUAUAUUCGUUUCUUUAUCCUCUUCUUUUUCUUCUCUUUCAGCAUCUAGAGAUAAGAAUGGACGUGCUCAAGUUUCAGUUGCUUUGGAUUCAACUCAAAUGGAAGCCCUUGUGAACUUGCAGAAACUGAAGGUUUGAUUUUUAAUUGCGUUUCUGACAUGAACCAUACAUUUCUCAUAUGUCAACGACAUGUUUUUUUGCGAUGAAAUUCAUUAAUAUAAUCUGUUAAUGAACUUAUACUUCAUCCAGUUUUAAGCAUGGCUGUUGUCUUUCAAUCAAGGUAUACAGAUAAUUGAAGACAACAUAAUGGUUGAUGACUUAUGCACUAGAAGGGACUAUGCAAGAUGGUUGGUCCGCCUAAAUUCCCUACUUGAGAGGUAACUAAUUGCUUGUCCCUUCCAUUGAAAUUCUGUAGUUCCUUGCUCGUUUGAUAUUCAUCCCGGCAGUCUUAUAAUUGUUUGCAGAAAUCCCAAGCAUAGAAUUGUGCCGACUAUAUCUUUGUCAGGCUCACUUAUGGCUGCAUUUGAUGAUGUUAACAUCGAUGAUCCAAAUUUUGUGUAUAUUCAAGGUAAGUACACAUAAUUUAGUUUUAGUAUGUCAUAUAAUUGUGUUUUGAUAAAAGUGUUUUGAAUUGUAUGUUUCUGAUUUGCAUAUUAGCUCUAGCGGAGGCUGGAAUCAUACCAAGCAAAUUGUCUUCAGCAAGUUUGUUUUGUGACACUGUAGAAGAAGCAAUCUCUUACUUUUACCCAGAUAGGUAUGAGAUUGGGAACAAUUUUACACAUGAGUUUUGAAUUUCAAUUAAUCUUGCAUUCUUCUGAAAACAAUAGAAUGCAUGUUCAUAUAGGCACCUUUCUCGUAAAGAUAUGAUCAACUGGAGAACUCAGCUAGAAUAUGGCAUCUCGCCAGGAACAAAAGAGCAGGUUUAAUAUACCUCUAAACUGUGUUUCUCAUGUACAUGAUUAAAGAGAUAAAAAUAGUUUGGUUCCAUUGGAUAUUUUCAUUUUGUAGCUUUUUAAAACCUGCUUGUUUACAGUCCAGAUGUCAAGAAUAAGAGCAGAUUACAUUGAUGUGAAGGCAAUCACUUCAGAUGCAUCGCCCGAAUUUUUCACUGACAUGCUGGCUGGCGAGAAAAGUAUAAUCAGAAAAGUUUUUGGUAAUGUUUCAUCUACUCUGCUACUUCUUACCAUUAAGUAAUUGCAUUGCCAAAAAUGUACACCUGUAUGAUUUUAGCACUCAGUUGAAAGAUAACUUGCAAGUAGUAUGUGCCAUUAAGGCUAAAGAACAGAUAGUUAUGAUGGUUUUACGUUCCAUGACAUGUAAUAGGAUAAUUAUGAAUGGUUUUGGAUUCUCCAUGUUUUAGUCUUUCUGAAAUGAAUAAAAAACAUGAAGCGCAUUAUAUGAUAUCACUUAGGAACUUCCAAGCCAGGAAAGUUUAUUUAACCUUCAUACUGUGGUAAUCAUAAUUUCAGGACAGAGCAGGCGUUUUCAGCCAAAUAAACCAUCAACCAAGGCACAAGCAGCUGUGGCACUAACUAGUGGCAGAAUGACGGAAGCAGUUCACAGCGAAUUAUACAGACUGGAAGCAGAGAGUUCUUCAAGGCAAGCUGCUGUCGAAGAAAUAAGGUCCGAGUUACUUGAAAGGGGUGAUAUAGUAAAUUUUUGGAAUGAGAAGCUGCUAGCAGAAAGAAACCGUUUAAUGGAGGAGCAGGAGCUCUACACUACCACCUUACAGGAUUUGGAUAUGGAGAAGGAUGUUAAGGUCAAAUCUUUGGUAGAGAACACGAAGGAGAAGGCAGCUAUGGAGUGUCAGAGACAACUGAUUCUAACUCUUAGGCAAGAGAUUGAUGAGAUGUCAGAAAGGCUUACAUCUGAGAGGGCUGCAUGUGUGGCUGAGCAAUGUAACAUUCCGGAGUUGAGGAAAGCAGCAACGACUAAUCUGGAAGGAGUUCGUGAUGCCAAAUCCAUAUUGGAAGCUGAAAUUGAAGCUUUAAAAACGCUCAGGUAAAAACUCAUCAGAAUGGAUUUCAUAUUUCACUAAUCUGUAACAGUGUAGGAAAUCAAUUUCCAGUACUCAAAAAAUUACUGUGUACGCUACAAAUGCAGGACUUGGGUAGAAGAUGAAGCAAAGAAAAGCCAGGCGCGCGCUAAAGUUCUCGGGGAGGUAGGACGUAGGUGGAAAUGGGACAACUGAACAUGAUUUCGUGGGGUGUUGUAUAAGUACAAAUUGCAAAAUAAUUAUCUGAUCGUUUUCUGAUUUGUUUACUUUGAUGGAAAUAGCAGAGUGCUUUAUAAACCAUCCUAGGGUGGUAGUGUAGUAUUUCACAGUCUUUCUGAAUCUGCUGCGCAAUAGAGUGUAGUGUUUGCUUCAUAAAUGUGGAUAAAUCAGGCCGUGGAAAGGAUGGAUUUUUGCCCUUUUCUGGCUUUGCCCAGAAGAUCGUUUGCUAACAACACUAUUAAGUGCAAGUUCGAAGUGUGCUUCCCAGUGAUGAUUGAAGUGGUAAAUAAAAACAAUGUAUGUUUCAGUCAAUAGUUAUUUUCUUCUUCAUAUAGAUCAGCUAUUUUGUUGGCAACGACAUAAUCUAUUCAUCGAUGCUGCAUCUUCAGAGUUGCUUAUUUUACACUGUGUGAUACAUUAGAUUGACACAUUUCCUCAACAUUUCACACUAGCAACAUGUAGGCAGAGAGCAACAUACUAUAUUCAGUUAAAGUGUUGACAUAGUAAUCGGUAGCGUAUGAUGGACUUGAAGAAGUCAAUUUCCGAUCACCUAGUUAUCUCGAUUUGAUUACCUUUACAGUCGUAAAAUAUGACCCCUGAGAAUUCAGGGGGCUGGCAUUUCUCGCCUCUUAAUAUCGACUUCUGCCACAACCCUCCUUCCCCAAACCUUCCUCCCACUCCCGCCAUUUUUGCUUCAAGUUUCCCCUUUUUUUCGAUCGUACUCGCACGUUCCUUACUAGCUCUUCUCGCUGGAGGUGGUGGUAGGGGAGGAAGAGGAGAGGGAAGUGGAACUUGAACACUGAUGUCUACUCUUAUCUCGUGGUCAUGGUCAUCGACACAACAACUGCUCUUCUUCUUCUGUGUUGCUGCUGCAGAGGGGUUUAUCCUUUUUAGACUCAUGGUCUUCGUAAUCAACUUUUUCGACGAAUUUCUGUUUGCAGGUGCAUGGGCACAUAAACCCACUAGAACUGCAACUGCCACGAACAACCCGAUGGACAGCGGCAUGGUUGGCCAGGAACCGAAACUAUGAAAAACUAUCGAGCUGUGCUCAAGUAAGAGUAACCGGGCCAUUAAUAAUUGUACUUCCACGAGAGCAAAAGGAAAAAGAUCGCAACAGAGGCACAAACAAUGUAGUUGGUAAUUAGUGAUUAGUAAGUGCUUGGUAAUGUCUUGAGAUGCCAAAUAUAUAUACGAGAUAGGAGUGGGAGAAGACGACAGAGGAGGAGGAAGGAAGAUGGCGCAGAGUAGUGAGUCUCUUCCUCUUAGUUUGGAGUUCUAGGAAGCAUGUUUAUCUUGUUCCAUGCAGGUGUUGUAUUGUUGAUAUAUAGUAUAGGUCUUGAAUUAAUUAGAGUGCCUAGCUAGCUCAGUGUGGUAAUUGUAUGUGAGUUGGUAUUAUUUACUCAUCUGGCUCUGCGUCGUUUUUGGGUAGAGACGUACGUACGUAUGGCGCCCAAGAAUUUUUGUCUCCUAUGUUAUGCUGGAGAUCGUCUUGUAGUUGAAAAGUAAUAAUUGGAAAAAGACGAUUGGAGAUUCUGAGGUGCCGUUGUUGCUGGUUUAUCGGGCAUUUCUUGAACUGGCUCUGUUGUGCGCUUUGCUAUCGUAUAUGUUUUUGGGUAGAGACGUACGUACGCUUGGCUCUGGGGUUCAAAUCUUCCACACCACGAUUUUGGCUUUCUUUUCUUCAAACUUAUUGUUGCAUUGUGAUUUGUGUCACCUCUGGUCAAUUUGCCUUUGCUUCUCUGACAAGCGGAUAGCAAGUUUCUACGGCUGCAUUAUUUUAACGUAAAAUAUCUCCAUUCAUGGUUACGUCAACAUUUUGCAUUGUUCCAUGCGUGAGAAUCAAUAUUUGCAUACACUUGGAUUAGGACUGUAUUCUGCACGUUUCCUAAUUCAUAUGUUUCCAAUUCGGACCACAAUUGAUUCAUAAGUACUUUCGUUACCUGGAAAUUUGAAUUAGAGCUCGGACGAGAACGGGAACGAGUCCAAUAAAGUGAGCUUAAUCUGGAGUUUGUAUACUAAAUACAUCGAUCAAUCAAACUAAAAAAUAAAUUAUUAGAAAUUUACAAAUCAAUAUAUUUCUCAUGCAAUUAAGUUAAAUCUAAAUCACGUAUUACUUUUUUUUGCAUUAACACAACCUCAACUCAUAUAUGAUUUAUAUUUGUUGGGUUUAGAAGCAAAACACAUCACAUGUACUUAUUAUUGAGCUCAGCCUGCUAAAGAGCCAUAUAUAGAGUCGAGCUUGUAUUUGGGUUGGCUUUCGAUCUAGUGCUUUAGCCAGCUCACAAGCCUACAAAUCGAACAUUCCCAAGAGUCAAUCUUUAGCCAGCUCACGUAUAUAUAACCUCUUUUCGAGUUGAACGCGGCUCGUCUUGCCUCAAAACAGCCCUAAAGAGAGGAUUUUUAUUUAUUUUAAUUAAUUUGGAAGAGAGCAUACAUGUUGUAUAUGUAAGAAAAUUAAGCUAGCAUGAGUGGGAGUUAGCCAGAUUCAAACACGAAUGAGAUCAACUUUAACUGAAUGUCAAGAAUCUGGAAUGAAAAUGUAAACUUGAGCUGUUAAUUACUCCCUUCAGAUAAAUUGACAGCUGAUCAUAAAGAAAUGGGUUGGUCAGUUAGCAGGUAUAAGGAUAAUGGUGUACUGAUAUCAAAAGAUGCAGCAUCGGUAAAUAUUAUACACAGCUAGCUAGGAAUGGCGUCUAGAAUUAGAGCUAGCUAGGUUGUUUGUUUUCUUUGAUUCUUUCUCUCAUUCCAUGUGAAGUAGCUGCUGGUAGCUUGAGAACUUUGUUACCGUGAUUAGACAGGUCAUAUAUAAAUCCGUACGUAUAGUAUAGGAUCUAACUUGACAAGAUUAUAAUUAUAAUUGCUGCAUACAUACAGUUGGAAUUCUUAGCAACCUAGUGGUAGGAUUAUUAUUGAUUAAUCAACUACAGUUCUGAUUUCUGAUCAACAUCUUCGCACAUUACACAAAGCCACUCAAGAGAGAGACAGAGUGAGCAAAUUAAUAAUACACACUAAGGAAACUAAAAUCAACACAAUUAGGUUUAAAAAGAACCUUAGGUUCAUGCAGAGAAACUGCGUUAAUGAAUACUAUCUAAUUAAAACCAAUCUGAACCCUCUCCCAACAACUAGAAUUAUUGGAAUGCAAUGAUGCAUAUAUGACAAAGUGAUGAAAAUAGCUUAUUUGAAUACCUGUUGCCAAUAUUGAGAGCCCAUGAUCAUGAACAACUCGGACCCUCCGGAGUCUAAACCCAGGGAUGAAGAAGAAGAUGGAAGAGCAGUACUUAUAGGGUUUUUCAGGGAAAUCGAACAUGGCGGGCACUGCUCCUCGUCAUAGUAGUAGUUACUUUCCUCUAACAUCUUCUUCUUCUUGUUCUUCUUCUCCGUAGUUCGUUCCCUUGCCCUAGCUCUCGCCUUGUCCCUUGUCUCCUUGCUGAUUGGACAAUGUUUCGUGCUUGGUAUACACGAUUCCAUCUUAUCCUUCUUGUUCCUAUUAGUACUUUUGGCCGACGACAUAACUACUACCUCAGUACUAAUCUCGGAGCAUGUACUAGUACUACAAGUAGUACACACGUCGAUUUGGAGAUCCUGGAUGGCGGAUUUCGACAUGGUGAAGAGCCACUCGAUGGUUUUGCUUGCCUUAUCGAAACCCAACAUGUCUUGGAGAUCGAAGAACCUGCGAGCGACCGGAAGAGAAAGCCUCAUCCUCCUGUCGCGAGCACCUUUGGCCGUGUAGAUCUUGCUGUGCCUGUCCUUCUUCCCUCCUCUACUUGUUGAUCUCUUCCUAAUAACUUUCCCUUCUGAUCUCUUAUUCUUCUUCAUCUCCUCCUCCUCCUCCUCCUCCUCCGGUAUCUGGGGGGGAGGAGGAAGCGGAUGAUCUUGAUCAUGAUCCAAUAUUAUUGGGGAGAGAUCAUCGAGAAAGUCAUGAUUAGGAGCAUAAGAAAGGAAGGGAUUUGGGGAGAAAUGGUAGUAAUGAUCCUCAUUAACAAGUGAGGUUAAGGAGGCUGAUGAUGUUGCAGUAGGAGGUUGAUUAGGGUUUAGGGUAUCUGUAGGAAGAUUUGGGAUGAACAUUGUUUAGUUCGUUGAGGUGGUCAAACCAAAAAGGUUGACGGUAGUUGGUGCUGCGGCUGCUUAGCUCUUGGAGAGCUAUAUACAAAUUGUUAUCUACUGAUAAUUAAAGAGGGAGCAAAUGGUAGGGCAGAUGGGAAUAGUGGGGAAGGGCAACUACUACUACUUUACAUACAGUGAACAGCCUUAUCUAUCUAUCCAUCUAUCUAUUUAUUGUACGACACACAGAGGUAGACCCACCAAGGUUGAAAACAACCAACACAUCCACUCUACGUUUGCUUAACUAGGGUUUUAGGUUUUUGUUUUUAAUGAAAUGAUGUUUUUCAUCUAGAAAUCCUUCCUUUUACUUUGAAAUAAUAAAAAAUGUGCUUUGGUGUUCCACUGUUUUGGAUUCUAUUUCAGUAUCAUGGAGUUUGAAAUUUUUGUUUCUAAACCCUUCCUGCAUAUAUAUCAGAUUUGGAGUUGCUUGCUCGUCAAUCUGGAGGGUUUGAAUGAUGAUAUCUUUUCGGGGUGCUGGAAACACCUAAUAAGAUUAGUCAAAGGACGGACCUUUAAUUGCCUGGAGCAUAAUCUCGACCACUACUACUACCGCAUCUACAUCACUUGGACUGGGAACUGUGGGUGCUGCGUUGAAACGUGGAUGCAUGUUAGGUGGAAACCGGCGCCACGCGGUUGGGCCACGUCCAAAGCAGGUGGUUCCUACACACCAUCUACACGACAUGCAACAACAUGAGCGGCCGUAAGAUAUUUGCAGGGUCGCUUAUUGGGUGCCUACACCAUCAAUCUGGGAAGUUUUUCCAUGUGGAACUCAAAAUCGCCAUUGAGAGUCAGUCUCCCGUUUGCAAGGGGACCAUUCCUUACAACAGUCCCCAAUACAUUUGAAGAUUGUUUUACAACUUAAGUUUAGAUCGGGAACUUAUAUUAUUUUCUUACAUGUCUUCUCAAACAAAAGGCAACUUCCGCGUUUGAAGUUUGCACAAACCCACUAUACCUUGGAGUCGUGGAGAUUCGAACACACUAUCGUUUGGUCUAAAGGCUUUGAUACCAUAUCAUUAACCGUUACAUCCUAAUAACUCAAGUUGUUGAGAGAUGGUUAAUUACGAAUUUUAAACCGGAUUUCUUAGAAAAUACAUCAUCCAAAAUCCCAUAAAAUCUCGUAUUAUGGUACUGAAUGAUUCUGUUGGCAGUAGGAGUGAACAACAUCGAAGAUGGAGGCAAAUCGUGGGAAUUGCCGUUUAUAGCUCUGCUCUGUACAUUGAAAUUUCCAUCUUAACACAACGAAAGAAAGAAAGAAUUGUAUUGAAUUGAGCCGUACGGAAGUCAGCAUUAAUUAUAUUAUUAUUUACUUAAAUUAGUGUGUCCAUUGCCCCAGUCUAGCAACCAGCAGCUAGAUAGAUAGUAAUUGUUAGUGAGAAAAAGAAUGAGUGGUGGGAGAAGGAGAUGAUGAAUGAGAUGCCAAUUUCACAUGGCUACAGAGAGAGCAGAUGAACCAGUGGUGCCAAACUGCCAAAUGGGUUUUACACCUUCUUACUUAUCGUCACCAAUAUCACUGUCAGUACAGUCACCAUUUCUCUGUGCACUUGAGAUUUUCUCAUUUUAGUUUUCUGAUAAUAGAAUUUGGAAACUGCAUCCAUGUCAUUAUAUUAAGCAAUACAAUAUAGGAAAGAGACGCUUAGUAGUGUACUAUUACUAUGCGGACAUAUGCGUUGCAAUGAGAGGUUGGGAACCAAACACAUAACCCGAUGAAUAACUGGUUAUAUAUGAUGCAUCGCAAAAUUCACAAUAGGUGUCACAUGACACAUUCGAUCCCCCAAACGAGUUGAUAGAAAAGUGGUUAACUUUGAUCACUGAUCCCCAAUUGUCAUUUAAUUUUACUAAUGGAUGAUUUAGAUGGUGAUUUGAAAUAAUUGGAGAUGAUGGGCUAUGGAGAUUUCACUUUGAGAUCUAGGUCUGAAGCCUAUAGAUGUUCGGACAGCAGAUCAAUCUGGUGUGCCAAGGAGCGCCCCAACCAGCAAUUAUGGGCCAAAACUAUAGGGAAGGAUUGUUGGGUAUAAUGACCGAUGAUCUACAAUCCACAUAUUACCACAAGGAUCAACAACUCAUAUCUCGACACAUCGACAUGAGGUCUGAAAUCUCGAAACUACUAUAAAAAAAAACCUCAUUCAUUUAUUGCAAUGGACUAGACACUAUUCACUUCUCUAAUAUAGCCUACCUACGUCGCCCACUCUCUAUGGCACCAAACGCCCAGGCUCAUAUAAUUGCCUAUGAGCUCACCCCCAAUACUUUUCUGUCUCCCCCUCUCAAUCAUAUAUCCACAUUACCCUCCAUACACACGAACAAUACUAACGCCCACAUACUUCUUUGUUAGGAAAGCCCAAGGGUUUUAGCAUGCCACUCAAAUUGGGAGGUACUACUCAAACCGGUUCUACUUCUUUACUAACAAAUUAUUUAUUGGUUGGACCAAUUUAAAGUGAUUUGGACCAAUCGAGAAGUUUGAAUGGAAUUUGCUAUUUUCAAAAUAUAUCGCUUAGAUGGAUGAUUUGAGAGUGAUUUUAAGUGCAAUUAUUAUGGAGAGAAAAAAUAUAUUAAAACAUGUGAGUUUAUUUAUGAUUAUAUCAACUACGAAAAGAAAAAAAAAGAGUAAUUUUGAUUAAAAUUCAAAAAUCUCUUUUUUCUCCUCCGAAAUCUCCCUCUUUGGGUAAUUUGAAAUCACACAAAAAAAAA